rnacentral:lncRNA from 1 species
AAUGUCGCUUGAAUUACCUAAACAAGGAAGUGCGUCUCCUUAUAGAUGUUGCUUGAAUUACCCAAACAAGGAAGUACGUCUCCUUACAGAUGUUGCUUGAAUUACCAAAACAAGGAAGUGAAUCUCCUUACAAAUGUCAGUUGAAUUAACCAAACAAAGAAGUGUGUCUCCUUACAAAUACCACUUGAAUUACCCAAACAAAUAAAUGUGUCUCCUUACAAAUGUUGCUAGAAAUAUCCAAACAGGAAAGUGCGUCUCCUUACCAAUGCCUCUUGAAUUAACAAAACAAGGAAGUACGUCUCCUUACCAAUGCCGCUUAAAUUACCAAAACAAGGAAGUGUGUCUCCUUACCAAUGCUGCUUAAAUUAUCCAAACAAAAAGUGUGUCUCCUUACAAAUAUUGCUAGAAAUACCCAAACAGGAAAAUGCAUCUCCUUACCAAUGCCUCUUAAAUUACCAAAACAAGGAAGUGCUUCUCCUUACCAAUGCCGCUUAAAUUACCAAAACAAGGAAGUGUGUCUCCUUACCAAUCCUGCUUGAAUUACCCAAACAAGGAAGUGCGUCUCCUUACAAAUGUUGCUUGAAUUGUCCAAACAAGGAAGUAUGUAUCCUUACAAAUGUUGCUUGAAUUGCCCAAAAAAGGAAGUGCAUCUCCUUACAAAUAUCGCUUGAAUUACCAAACAAAGAAUUGCGUCUCCUUACAAAUACCGCUUGAAUUACCAAACAAGAAAGUGUGUUUCCUUACAAAUGUUUCUUGAAUUACCAAAAUAAGGAAGUGCGUCUCCUUACAAAUACCCCUUGAAUAAGGAAGUGUGUCUCCUUACAAAUGUUGCUUGAAUUGCCCAAAUAAUAAAGUGCGUCUCCUUACAAAUACCAAUUGAAUUACCCAAAUAUGGAAGUGCGUCUCUCUACAAAUGUUGCUUGAAUUACCCAAACAAGGAAGUGCGUCUCUUUACAAAUGUCACUUGAAUUUUUCAAGGAAAUGCGUCUCCUUAACAAGGAAGUGUCUCCUAGAGAUCUUGAAUUAUGAGUUUUACCAUGGUUUUGAUUCCCAAACUUGUGAAACAACAUUGCCUCUUGCAUAUGUAUAAGUGAGAAAUUACGGUUUUUGAUGUUUAGGCUCCAAAAUCCUUGAUCUAAAUGUAACAUGUGUUCCUAUUUCAUACAAAGAAAAAUUAUGAGUUUAAAACAUGGUGGCGGGUUUGUGGCUUUAGCUUUCGCGGCAAUAUCUCUUGCCCCGGUCAUAUUUAACCUUGCUUCCAACUAUUAUCAUAUGUCAUCAACUUGCUGCAUCAUUGACCAACCUCAUAUUAUCAAGACCGACUCGAAAACAAUUACAGUAUCUCUGCUUUUCCAUGCUCCUCUGAUAAACCCCUUGAACCGUGGUAUUUCCAUAAAUUUUCAAACUUAUCUGUUUGACAAAACUUUCCGCAUGCCUUAUUUUGGCUCACAAUCAUGUCUCUUUUAUAUGCUAGCUUUUUUCUUGCUUUGUACAAUUAGAGAAGCUGGUAGCCAGUUUUGAAAUCUUUUCUCACUUGUUUAGGCAUAGACUUAACUUAAAUACAAGAGAAAAAUGAUAAUUUUUUAUAUUUGGAUAACUGAAUCAAGAAAGAUAAAACAAAAAUAAAGAGAAGAAAGAAAAUACAAUGAAUGUCCCUAUUUAAAACAAAGAAACAAAAAAUUCAUCUAAAAAUGACAGUCAACUCUAAUGAAUAGCCAUGCAUUUUGGAUUAAGCAUCUUGAUCUUUUCGUCCAAACUUUCUACCAAUUGUUAUUGAGUUAAUGGCCUCAAAACUAAGUUGCUUCCUUAGGUCAAUUGCAUUUAGACCUCAUUCGGUUAGUGGCGCCUUGAAGGUUUUUGCCAACAAGCCUCUUCCUUUCUCUCAACCCACCAUUGCCUUUAUGUCCGUGAGGGUUUUUCACUGAUGAAACUCUCUUAUUUUCAUUUCUCUCAACUCACAAUUAUCUUAUGGUGCCUAUGAGGGUUUUCACCAAUAAGAUUCUCUCAUUUUUAUUUCUCUUUUGAUUCUUAUUACUGAGGUAGACAAGUAGUUCCCAAAAUAUGUCAUCACAUUCAUUGCAUGCUUAGUCUUAACAUUCUUAAAGAUUGAUCUGAACGUCUUUCUUUGGUUGUAUCUUGGCUUUUGGAUAAGGUUAGAAAGAAAGGAUGACAUGAGGCCCAAACGAUACUUGAAGUGGGAUAGGAAUUAUAACUUUUGGAAUUGACUCAAACAAUGAUUAUUAACUCAUGCCCCAAUUUUUUUAUGGCUGGGUGACUCUAAAUUGUUUAUUUGGUUAGACCGAGCCCUUAGUAGGGCAGCCUACGUAUCUCACCCCUGAGAGAGGAGAAUCAGGUCAUGCGUAGUUCUGAAAGCUUGUUCUUUUGCUUGAUUCUGAUUUUUGUUCUUCUUUUUUUUUUCUCUUUUCUCUUUGGGAUUUUUUUUGGACCCUAUUUUUGAUACUUUACUGUUUUCUUUCCUUUUGGACAUAUUUUUUUUCUCGACACUUUUCUUUUGAGUUUUACUGACUCUAUCUUGAUUUUAAAAGAGGGGUAUGAAAGAAAAUAGGACUAAAUCUUAAAUGGGGUAGACAAAGGAUGACACAAUGUUUGGAUAGCAGAAUGAAAUGCCUUCAUCAUAUCAAUCCUUAAAAAUGCAAGUACAUAUCAUGCAAUAUGGAAGUGAAAGAUGAAGAUCAUUUGUGACAUCUUUUGCAGCAUUAACUUUGACUGAGUCUGUGCAUCACUAUUCUUCUGUGUUUUUCUAGCAUAUAACUCCACUUUUGUUGCAUAUUCCUCACAUUGAAUGAGUCAUGAUUUUGUGGAACUGAUUUUCAUUCUGUUCACGCAGCCAUUAUUUGACCUAAUUGAGACAUGUCUUUCAAUUAAUGACCAAGUUAUUCUUGUGAUUCUCAGAAUAAGUGCCUGAAUUUUCAAAGAAGGCUUCAACUUAUUACCAAAUGUUUCAGCACUCUACCUAUUUCCUCAGAUGUUCUCUUUUACUAACUUAAACCUCUGAUUCAAUGUUUCAUGGUUAAAUUGGAUUUUAAGAUAUGACUGAAAAUUUCGCUAGUAUGUCAUAUCACUAGAAUCAACAUACAAUGCACUAUGUGAAAAAAACAAACAAACAAUAUAUAUUUAAACACAAAGAAAAAAAGGGACACUCUAUUUAAUUGAAAUAAAAGAUAGAGGGUUCGAACAUAAACGACAAAGGGAUAAAAUAAGAGAAAUCCUGAACUACAACCCUGAAAUACUUCAAAAAACAAAAAAGAAAAGAAAACAAACUACCAGACCUCUUCCUAGUAGGGAGAGAAGUGACUUCUCAAUUGUUCAGCCUGACAACUUAGCCACUGGUUUGCAUAUCAACAUGAUUGGAGCUUUCCUCACUGUCAAUGUUCUGCACCAUAAUUGAUCCAUCUUGAAUAAUCUUUUCAAAUUCUCUUUUCAAAUCUCGACAAUCUUCAAUACUAUGACCCUGAGCAUCAGAAUGAUGCGCACAUCAUGCAUUAGGAUCAAAAUUUCUUAAACGAUGAUUAGGAGUGUGACCAAGGAGAGGAGUAAUCAUGCCCCUCUGUCUCAAUCUCUGGAACAAAUUGGCAUAAGAUUCCCCAUUAGGAGUGAAAUUUUCCUUUUCCUCCCUCUUCCUUGUGAACUCUGGCCUCGAAUGAAAAUUUAGAGGUUCUUUGGUAAAUUUGUGGGGGUCGAGGAUGAUAUUGAGGGACAAGUGCAUGCCAUUGUGGAUAAGAAGACGGAUGGGUACACAAUUGUGCAUUGUUCAAAGGACAUUGAGGAAGUAGAAUGAAACUCCUUGGAUUUUGAAAAGAAGAACCUUAUUGCAGAUGAGUAAGUGGAUUUGAUAUGUUAGCUCGAGAUUGAGGCUGACAGUAUUGGUGAGUUGGACCUCUUAAACUCUGCUUUGGUCCUGGUAUGAAAAUAGGUGCAUUUUUCUUCUUCUUUUCUUCAGUUUCCCUUGAUUGAUUGCAAUAUUGUCCUAAAUGUUUCACAGAAUCAUGUUUUCCACCAAGAUCCUCAAAUUUUGAUGUCUCAAAGCUUGGAGGAAGGUUAACACUUGACAACAUGCCCUAGUUUUUGUAUGAAACAUCUUCAUAGCCUACAAGUCCCAAGGAAUUUUUCAUAUCAUUUUCUUCUACACUCUUAACUUUCCCAACCAUUUCCUCUGGCUCUUCUAGCAUGCUAGGCUUCUUAGUAAGAAAUUUUAGCGGUCCACUUAAUUCAACAGUAGGCUCAAGAGUAUAAUAAUGAUCAUCAAGAUUAUUGAAUGUGGAUUCACUAGUGGACUGGGGAAGCACUAUCGUUGGAUUGAUAGCCAAAGUGCAAGCCUUAGUAGAAGGUUGAGCAACAAAAGCACAGACAGUAUGUGGUGCUGUGAAUGUGGUAGAAUUAUACUGAGGAGCUAAAGAAAGAGUGGUGGAAGUGUUGAGGUGCAUUUGACGUGGAAUGGAUUCUGAGGCAUGUUGUAGUGCAUCAACAACAGAAGGAAACUGACUUUGCAAUUUUGGUGGAAGACUCAAGGUAUUUGCAAAGUCAAAAGUGGGGAACGGAGGUGGAAGCAGCCCACUGGACCAAGCUCGGUACAUUUCCAUCAUUUAUUGUCUCAGUCUCAAAUUCUCUUCCUUUAAACUCUCAAUUUCCUGACUCUUUGUUUCAUCCAUGAUGCCACUCUCUAUAUCCUUGUUGGACACAACUAACCCUUUCGAAUUGGUGUGAUGUGGAGAGUCAACUACAAUGCUAAAAUGCCACAAACCAACCACCUUACACUAACUGAAAAGGAGAUAACAAACAUGUUAGAGUUCAACACUCUUCCAAAACCUUUUUUUUUUUGAAAAAUAUGACCGAACCCAAGAAGGGCGCCUACGUAUCUCACCCCUGAAAGGGGAGAAUCAGGUGUGCAUAGUUCGUGAAGUCUUGCCAAAAUGGCCAAUUAAACUCUUUUUCCUUUCUUUUUUUCUUUUUCUUGAAAUUUUAAAAAGAAAAGGAAAUAACAAAUUGUCAAAAGAAUUGACGAAAAUCUUUUUGCAUUUUUCAAGUUUAAACAUUACAACAUGAAACCAAUGAUUACCAAAGAAAAAUCUUUUUGGAUUUUCGAUUUUGAAUUUCAAAUGAAAGUGAAUCUUGAAACUACCAAAGGAAAAUCUUUAUGUAGUUUUCUUUUAGAGAUGUAUAUGACACCUACUCUAAAUGAAGAGUGAAGAAAAUCUUUUUUGAAUUUUUCAGAGUUUUAUACAAAAUAAAAUCUAUAGUUAUCAAAGAAAAAUCUUUUGGGAUUUUCAAUUUUGAAUUUCAUACGAAAAUGAAACUUGAAACUAUUAAAGGAAAUUCUUUUUGUAGUUUCUUUUAAAGAUAUAUAUGGAACACUUACUCUAAAGAAAGAGUAAAGAAAAUCUUUUUUUGAUUUUUCAAAUAAGAUCCCCGAACCAACAAUAGGAUGCCUACGUAUCUCACUCCCGAAAGAGGAGAAUCGGGGGUGCGUAGUUCAUCCAGAUUGGACAAUUAGGGAUUAAAGAACAAACUAAGACUUGAGAGACAUGACCACAAAUAGACGAGGAAAAUGACAAUAAAAUCUUUUUGAAAUUUUCGAAUUAUGAACGCAUGCUAAAGAAGACAAAGUAAAAAUCUUUUGAUGUUUUUGAUUUUUGAAAAAUGAGUGCAAAAGGUAAAAAAAUCUUUUUGAAUUUUGAAUUGUGGAAAACAAAAGUCAUAAAGAACUCUAAAAACUACAAAACUUUCUUUUUUUCUUUUCGACUCACUUUUUUUCAAUUAUUCUCAACAUUUCUUGCCUACGCACUUUACUUCUAACACAUGCUUUCCCCAAAUCAGUCCAUCAAAUGACCACAUUACCCUCAAAGAUGCAACAUUUAGCACCCAGGGAUGCUUUAGAGGUGAGUCUCCUACAAAGUCCACGUGGAUCCCACUAGGUCUCAAUAUGAUGCAGAUAAGCAUGACCUAAAGGAUGACCUACGUUGGGGUCCACUAACAACGCUGUUCAAGGGAGCGUAUGGUCGAUAGUGGAUUGCUUUAGCUGUCCACCUACUCCAUACAACCCAGUGAAUCCCCUUCCUAAAAUAAGGGUGACUCAACUAUAGGUCGUGUACACAUGUGUACUAUGGACUUGCUGCAGAAAAAAUGACUCGGGUUAUGCACAUGAUGCCAGAUAUAAAGCGGUAAUAUAUAAAGUAAAAACUAUGAACAAAGAGCACGUAGACACUCAACAAUGAUAAACAAUAACACAAAACAACACAAACAAAAUGUCUAUACACCUAUAGUGCCAGACUAAGUUGAUACAACUCCAAAACAAGCUCAAAUUCAAAAAAAUCCCCAGUAGAGUCGCCAGAGCUGUCACACACCUUUUUUAACUCCCAAAAGAAUUAGAUUUUAAGAUUUGAAUGAAAGGGAUUUAAUUAUCAAAGUGACAGAAGAUUGAAAAUUUAUUUUGAAAAGGACUUUUAGCUAUCAAAACUCAGAGUCGCCACUUGGCAUAAUCGGGUGUGCCAAGUCACCUUUGAAAAUCUUUUUUCAAAACUAUUUUUUACUCUUUAAAACUGGUUUGUGAACAGAGAUUCCUGUUAAGGGAUUCUGUUGACCGAGGGGAAGGUGUUAGGCACCCCUCGAUCCUGUGGUUCGACCACAAUCGCUUGGCGGAGUAUAUCGACUAAUUUAACACUACGAAUGUAUAAACCACACAAAACGCAUUAAACAAUCAAUCAAACAAACAAAACAAACAAAUACCAAAAUAUAGUAUACAGUCCAAUUAUUACAACUCAAAAUGAAAAAGGUACUGAAAAGUGAACCUACACUAACCUACACUAAUACCAAACUACGCUCCAAUGCCUUACCCAAUGCUUCGGGCCUUCAUCAUGAGCGUCCUUCAAGUACAUGAUACGCCGGGUCAUUCCCCGAUGAAUAAAUACAAAUGUGACCUUGGGGCAUUCCCCGACGAAUGAAUACAAUCGAUCCAAAUUCAUAAAAGAAAACCAUUCAACAAACAUUUUAAACAUUCAACAAUCCAAAAGUUCUAAAUUUGUCUAUCCAAACCUACUAUUUGCCGAUCCAUUUCAACACAUCAUAAUUCUAUCACGUUUCAUAUCGAUAAUAAAUCAAAAUUAAUUCGAAUCUACCCUGUUCACGGAUUUUUAAUUCCCACUCCCCAACUUCCUUUUUAUCAAUCACGCCAUCAAAAUUAUUCAAAUUUGUUUUAGAUAUGGCCAAAAUAGCAUCGUGAAGCACAUAACAUAAGAUCAACAAAAUUCAACAAUCAUGAUCAACCCACACAUAAUCACAAACAAUUCAACAAAAUCGAGAUAAAAUGAAGAGAACAGGUUAAAGAAAUGAACCUUCGUAGAAUGUUUUCAUUGAUAAUAAAGAAGUUCAAAAAUCAAAAUCCUCGAACAGAGAACCCCAACGACGAACAGACCAAAUCAGUGUCCCAAAAUUACCAUCCAAACAGAUUUCAAACCAAGAAAAAAAGAAUCAACAUGAAACCCCCCUAAAAAUCCAAUAGAAAACUGACACCCGCACGAUUCGAACUUCGGUAAGCUCAGACGGAGGCGGAAAACGACAGACCAAAACAGAUUCCAGUGAAGCUAGCUAUUUCUGGCUAGAUUCAGCUAAAAAAACAACGAAAAAAAAGGAAAUUUUGGGGAAUUUCAACACUUUGGUGGAUUUUUUAAACCUGUAAUACCUGGAAUAGACCAAAACAACCAGUUCUGGCGACCUUUAGCAUGCCUCGACGUUUUUCAGUGAUGCGGUUGUCGGAGUAGUAAUUAGACACGACNNNNNNNNNNNUCCCCUCUCUCGAUUUCUCAAUCUCUGUAUCCCUCGUCUUGCUUUAUCUCCCUCUCACUCGAUUUCACUCUCUUUCUCAAUGGAAAUUAUGUGUAUAUGUGUGCGUUCUUGGUGAGGUGAGUGUGUGCGAAGAAGAAGAUGAAUUUUUGUGUUCUCUAGUGUGGAUAUCCGUGUGUUUUUUGUGAAUGGCAGUGUUCCUCUCUCUGUGAUUAUGUGUGUAUGGAUAUAUAGUGAUAAAAAUGAAAAAUGGAAUUACUGUGGGUGUCCGUGAGUGAGGUGUCUAUUUUGAUUGGGUAGGUUGUUAGGAUGAGGUGUAAAGUUGGUUAGGAUAGAAUUAAAAUAAUAUAGGAUUUGUUAUGGAUUAUGUUAAGGGCUGUUAUUUUAUUUUUUUUGUAUUUUUGUGGGGUAUAAUUACAAGGAUGAGGGUGUACAAUAAAGUAAGGUAAAAAUGAAUAAAAUUGGACUUGGGAGGGAUAAAAUUAUGUGUCUACACCUCCAAUGCACAUUCAUUUCUCAUCUUGUUUAACAAGUACACUACAGAUACAUAAUUUAUAAUGCAUCAUAUGAAGACAACAAACACCAACUACUCAAAAAAUAUCCAGAAACAUAGAUUAAAAUAUUUUUUUAUCAGAUCUUGUGGCUCUGUAAUUAAAACUGUGAUCUAACACAUACUUUUCCAUAACAGCUUUAAGAGUUUUCUUAUCCUUGUACAACUUUUUUACCUUAACUUCUAUAUUUUGGCAAUCAGUGAUGAAUUUUGUAGUUUCUCUCUCUUCAGUCGAUUUAUCCAUUGUUUUAAUGCAUAACAUAUACAUUACAGAACCUGUAAAUAUUUUUUUUAACGCCACGUAGAUUUUAACACCAUGAUCGUUUCUAAUCACCAUAGGAGUCGUAUUUCCUUUAACAAUAUAUCAAACAUCAAUCUUUUUCUUUGAUUAAUCUAUGUCAAGCUUCGUAGCAACAACGGAAAUCAACUUCACAUAUGCAACACUUUCGCUAACUACAAUUUCAUCACUUUUGAAAUUUUCAUAGAUAAUUUUGCUUUGUCAAAUUCCAGAAUGUCUCAAUAAAAUCAAAAUAUUCAUGACGAAAAACAGAAUGAAAGAUCGGAUAGCUAAUUAUUUUUUAAGCAAUAUGAUGAAACAAACAAGAAUUGAAUUUUCAAAUUUUAAAAAAAAAAAGAUGAUGUUGCGUAUUUGUAGUAUUAAAAAUGGCAAUUCCUUUAGUUACGUGCUUUCAUUGCUCAAUAAUAUGCUUAAUUACCGCUUAUUUUCAUUUUUAAUCGUAUCAAGAGGCCGCUUGGAUAGGAUUAAAAAAAUAACUUUUUAGCUUAAAUGAUUAAACGCCUAAAAUAAGUGCUUAUAAAUUAAGCAGAUAAGUGUUUGGAUAGAAGUGGUGAAACUGAAAAAAAAAUUAUUGAUGUGUUUGGUAAACAAGUGAUGUUAAGCACUUUUUUUAUGUUAAAAUGACUUAAAUGUCCUUAAAAUUGUUAACACCAUAAAUAGGGUGAAUUAUUUAUAAUUUUUAAUUUUAAAAUAAAUUUUUCGAGCAAAACUCCAAUGUAAUUAUGGAUUCGGUGAAAACAAAGGAGAAAGAUUAAAAAAAAAUUGAAGGGAAGAGAUGAAGCGAAGCACCAAAAGAAAAAGAAAGGAAAAAUAUAGAUUUAAGGGCUACAAGUUCGAGAUAUUAUUGGAAUUGAAGAAAAAUAUAAGGGAUAAAAAGGUAAAUAUUUUGGUCAAACCUAAAAUAAUUUUAAUCUAAAAAGCAAAAAGUUAGGGAUACCCAUCUUCUCACUUUUUGCUUUUUUUAAUCUAUUUUUAGCUUUUAUUAAGCCCAUUUUAAUUUUACCAAACACAUAAAAAGCUAAAAAAGGAUUAAAAGUUGGUUUGACCAGAUUUUAAUCCUAUCCAAACGGGCUCUAAAUAUCUUACUUAUGUACCAUAACGUAAUGUACCAUGACGUGCAGGAAUGUAUCAUAUAUGAAAUUUUAUGUAAUCUAUAAUAUAUUAAAAAUGUGAAGGCCUUUAGAAAAGUGAAUUGAACUUUUUGCCCUUCAUUAAAAUAGUCCGCUUUAGAAAUCGUCUUUUAUCAUUUUCCCUCCAAUUAAAUUCUUCAAAAUAAAUAUACUAAAUUUUUGCUACAAUUAAAUUCUAACCAAAUUAGCUUUUUUCUCUACUUAAUUAAAACCCACAUUUUUUUCCUACUUUGUUAAAACAACCAAAUUUAGCUUUUACCACAUUUAACUUUUUACUCUACUUAAUUAAUUAAAACCCACGUUUUUUUUUCUACUUUGUUAAACAUCCGAUUUUUUUUUAUCCCAUUUGAUUCCUACUUGGUUUCUUCAACCCAAAAACACCUUCACUUUCCNNNNNNNNNNNNNNNNNNNNNNNNNNNNNNNNNNNNNNNNNNNNNNNNNNNNNNNNNNNNNNNNNNNNNNNNNNNNNNNNNNNNNNUUAAUGAACUAUUUUUUUCUCCUAUUUGUUUCCUGCUUGGUUUCUUUCAACCAAGAAAUUAUUUUUUUCCUACACAUCCAAAUUUGUGUCAUCUUUGGUUUGUACAUUCUGUCCUUCUGUAUAAACCCUUGAACUUUUUAUUGUUCAUCGUUAUAAGCAGUUGCGAUUUUUCAAAUUUAGCUUAAUGUGUCAUGUUAAUUCAAUGUAUUUUAUUUUCUACUGCUCAUAACUAACCUUCUUUAUCUAUCAACCUACGACAUAUUCAGGUAUAUUCUUCUCAUCUCAUAAAUUUACCUCUAUUCUACCUUCUUAUCGUUCUAUGUGUCCUUUUAGUAGAAUAUAUUAUAGUAAUUUCUAUUGCUCAUAACUAACCUUCUUUAUCUACCCACCUACCAACAAGAUUCACAUAUUCAGGUAUAAUUCUUCUCAUCGAACAAAUUUACCUCUACUAUGAAAUUAUAUGUUCUUCGUAUUGUUUUGUUGCAGUUUACAGGUGAUAGAUGAAUGUCGAUCGGCUUUGAAAAUUUUUUGGGUAAAAGUUAGGUUUAGUUAAAUAAAUUUUUCAAAAGAUGUUGAAUUUAAUUAUUGUAUUUAUCUUUAUUAUUUAAACAAAUAUCCUAUUUAGUGUAAUGUUUGAACUCAAUAAAGUGAGGUACACGCGCGAGGCGCGUACACCUAAACUAGUUACUCCCUCCGUUUCGAAUUGGUUGGCCCAUUUGGACUUGACACACCUAUUAAGAAAAUAUUAAUUAGGUGUUUAUUUUACCAAAUUAGCUUUAUUAAUUAUGUUUUGAAAAUAUAAAUUUGAUUAAAUACACUUUGUUUAGUCAUUUAAUGUUGAGGGUAGUAUUGAAAGAACAUAAUAAAAUCCUCUUGAUUUCAUUAAAAGGACAAUUAAAUUGAAACAAAUAUUUUUAGAAAGAGGACCAACUAAAAUGAAAUGGAGGGAGUAUUAUAAAAGUAGGGAGAGAGGAUAAUUAGGUAGGAAACUGUUGACGUUAUUUAUACAAAUUUAAAAGUCUUUGGACUUGAUUUCAAAGUUUGGAUUAUUAGUCAUAUGAUUUCUAAUCUACUUCCAAAGGGUUUGCCCCUUUAGGAAGGAAAAGGGAAAAUCACUUGAAUUUGAUCGAUCUAGACAUAUUACGAAGUUGAUCAAAGGUUUGAACUGAAAAAAAAUAAUCAAAUGUUUGACAAUUAUGAGGGGUGACUCAUGAGUAAGGCUACUGAAAUAUUUACUUUAGGCCUCAAAAAUUUUAUUAGUAAAUUUUAUAAUUUACUAAAACAUUUGUUUUAGGCCUCAAAAAUUUUAAUAUAAAUUUUAUUAUUUUCAACUUCACUUGAAAUAAUAUUGAAUAUUGUGAAAUACGUCCAAAAAAAAAUAAGAAAGAAAGAAAAACUAUCUAAUUUUUAUUAAAAAUAUUUUAGAACUUUGAAUUAAGUAACUCAGACUUCAUAUUAAUAAGUGCAUUUUUAACAAUAAAAUCCAAAUUAAUGUAUUGCAAAUAAAUGUGUAACACUUUAUGCACUAUAAUUAAUCCUUACUUUAAUUAAUAAUCGUAUUAAUAUGUGAAGUCAAAUGUUAUGUGUCUUUUAAAAAUACUACACCAAAAACAACUAAUAUGCAUGAACAAAAAAAGAACAACUUAAAUAGUAUUAUUUUUAUAUGUAUGUUUAGAUAUUUAGGGUCUUUUAUUAAAAUUUAAUUUUAGGCGACUAAUUUUAUUGAAACACCCCUAACAAUUACCAAAAAAAAGGUUUAACAAUUGCUUACAAUAAUUUAAUUUGUCAUUUAUGGUGAAAUCUUUAAAAUUCGUGUUAAAAUAAAGAAUCGAAGUUGUUUUAAAGGUUAAAUUGAUGAAAAUCUAGUAAUUAUAGGAUUAAAACAUUAUUCAAGUGAAAAGGAGUGAAAUUGAGGUUUAAAAUUAAGCCCUAAAAUUUUUGAGGUUUUGAGAAAUAAAUCAAAAAAUUUGCUAAGAAAAGGGCAAUUGUUAACUUAAAUUUGUAAGAGAAUCAAGAAAUAGAUGUUAAUCUAGUUUUUCAAACUCCCUCAAGCUUCACUUUUAAGCUCUCACACUAUUUUAGGAUCGGAAAAAGGCCUAAAACACCCUUCAACUAUGUAAAACGGUGCAAAAACGCCCUCCGUCAAACUAUUGGGCCUAAAAUGUCCUUUUCAUUUACCUAUUGAGCCUAAAAUGUCAUUCUCACCUAUUUAUUGGGCUUAAAAUGUCUUUUUCGUCUACCUAUUGGACCUAUUUUGCCCUUUAAUUUAGGUAAAAUACAUAAAAAAAAAACCAUCCUUAAAACUUAAUAACAUAAAUAAUAGUACUUUUUCAAUAUUACAAUAAUAAAAGUAUUUUUUUUUUUUUACAUAUAUAGCCAUUUACAAAAAUAAAAAAGAUAAUUAUAAUUCCUAAUUUAAUGUUAUAACUAAUUAUUAAUUCGCCUUAAUUUAAGAGAUAUAUCUUCAAUUUUCAAAGUAAAAGUGAAAAAAAGAUAAUCCCUUCUUCCAAAUAUUUCUCUCUUAUAUUCAAAACACAAAUAUUUUUAAAUAAGCUAAAUAUUUCAUUCUUUGUCGUGUAUGUUUCCAUUUGUUUUCAUGUAUGUUAAUCAUCUAGUAUUAUCUCAUUGUCAUGUAUUUAAUUUUUUAUGGAAUAAAAAUUAUUAUGUUGGAAGUACAGAUAUAUCAUAUAUUUUUGUUGUAUAAAUAUAAUUUAUGUCAAAGACUGAGUAUUAUUAUAUUUUAUAUAUAAUUUAUGGGAUAAAUAUUCAUGAUAUAUCCCAUUAUGUCGGGAGUACUUUUCUUGUUAAAAAAUUAUUUACUAAAUAUAAAUAUGUAUUUUUAGUAUUACAUGACAUAAACUUUUUAUAUCUAAAAUAUAUCAUGUGUGUUUAUGGUAUAAUUAUAAAUUAUAUGGUAUAAAUAUAAUCUGUAUGGUAUAAAUAUACCAUGUAUUUUUAUGAUAUAAAUAUAAUUUAUAUAAUACAUAAAUAUACCAUGAAUUUUUAUGGUAUAAAUAUACCAUAUAUUUUUAUGGAGAUAUCGUGAAUGCGGGCAGUAAAAAUGAAAAACAUAAAAUUUUGAUAUAAUAUAAAAAAAUGAAUGACCAAAGGCUUCCAUAAAAAUAGGCAAUAAAUAAGAAAUGUGAAAAUUUAAUAUAUAAUUAUUUUUCUAUAUAUUAGAAUCUAUUAUAAAAGUAAAUAUUUUAUAUGCUAUAUCUGACAACCAACUAAUACGGCUAUGUAUAUGUAAUAAUUUUUUUAAAAUAACUAUUUAUGUUAUUUUUCUUUUUAUUUAUCAGAUCAAUUUAGAAUGACAAAAAAUUGAUAUUAUGCACUAUUUAUUUGGUUAAUAUUAAUAAAAAUGAUAGAAAUUUUAUGUAGUUUAAUAAGGAUAAAUUGUGGUAUUAUAUAAUUUUUUCUUAAAUAAAAGGGCAAAAUAACCUCCAUAGGUAGACGGAAAGGACAUUUUAGGCCCAAUAGGUAGACGAAUGACAUUUUUGUACCAUUUCAUAUAGUUAAGGGCCAUUUUAGGCGUUUUUUCAUUUUAGAAUUUAACUCUCAAGAGAAAACGAUGAGCAAAAAGAGGGUAUUUAUACUUGCACAAGAUGGCCAGCACAAAUAAGGCAUAAAUCGACCCUAUGAAAUGCUAUUUACCUUAUAUUUUUGAGAUUGCACCACCAACCUGAAAAAUCAGAUUUUUCAAAUCCAGUUCGGACUUACUUACAAAAUUUGCUUGUUGGCUAAAUUUGAUCAUAACAAGAACUAUUUUACGUAGGAUAUUAAGUGUGGAUUUUUACUUGAGUAAUGCUUUGAAAUUUAAAUAUUAUAUAUACAUCAACAUUAUUCAAAUUCAUCCAUUCAUAAAAUCACUCCUCAGAUCUUCCUCCCUAGCAUUGCAACGCUUCAAAGUACGCAAACUUAACAAGUAAUGUCUUCGACUAUGAAUUUCCAAACAUUAGCUCCUGUCACAAAGUUCAUUGGACGAGAUCCAACGUCAGUCUUGUUGGAGUUUUGGGGCUGUUUUAUUUUUAUGUUUUUGAUUUAUCAUUAGAAGUUUGUAUUAGAAGAGUCAAAGAUAGUAGAACAAAAACUUCUCGUGUGGAAAAACAAUAGACUAAUUCUCUUAUUUACUCUACUCCAAAUUAGACGGUAUUUGUUUCAAUGACAAUACCUAUCAAAUUUGCCUCUUUAAGUUUUUUAUUUUACAAAAAAAAGUUGUAUGUGUACUCUCAUGCAGCCAUAUCUAUCAUAAAAGUUGUACAUCAACUUGGAUGAAUUGAGAUACCAAUUUCAUUGAGCCGCGUCUGCUCUCUUUGUGACCAUAUUCAAUAAAAUUAGCUUCUACAUGCGUCUCAUGGGCAUCUUGUGUGCGUCACGUGCAUAUCGUGCGACACAAGUACAUCGUGUCAAUUAAUAUAAAAAUGUAAAUUCAUAUAUAUAUAUAUUGUUAAUAUGUGUAUGAGUUAUACAUCUAAAAAUUCAACGUCAGUUUUGUUGGAGUUCCAGGACUGUUUUAUUUUUAUGCUUCUGGUUUAUCAUUUAGUAGAAGUCUCUAUUAAAAGAGUCAAUGAUAGUAGAACAAAAACAUCUGAUUGAAAAAUAAUAGACCAGUUCCUUUAUUUACCCAACUCCGAAUUAAACAGUAUUUGUUUCAAUGACAAUACCUAUUAAAUUUGUCUAUCGGAGUUUAAAAAAAAAAAAACGAAACGUAUGCGUACUCCUGUGUUGAUGCUAUAUUGGAAUUUGGAAGUUUUGAUAAUCAAAAUAAAGAUAUUAUUCUUAAAAAUGGUAUUACUGAUGCUAUACGUAACAUACACUACAAUAUUACAAACAAUUUAAAUUUAUCUGGGCCAAGAAGAAGUAGUAACAGAAGCAAGAUUAUUUGGGCCAAAGUCCAAAAAGUUGGAGAGCCCAAAGCAGAACUUUCGAUAAACAGAGAUGUGGGCAAAGCCCAAGUCGUCUUUUAUUAUGGAUAAAUUACUUAAAACAACACCUUAAGUUUUCAUUAUUACUUAAAAUCCCAUCUCACUAAAUUAAUUAUAAAAAUCUCUUCUAACUCAUAGAACCUCAAUAUGUACAAAUAUAUUACAACCCACCCUAUAUUUGUGUCUUCUGCUCCUCAAAACUUGCCCAAAAUCACGGUGAAGUAUCCGACGUUUUCACCAAUUCAAUAAUUUUGAAUUACAAUCGUGUUAUGAUCUACUACUUCAACAUUCUAGUUUCAGCUUUCAAUUACAACCUCCAUUAACUUUCUUCUUCAAAAUUUAUUGAAUGUAAGUUUGUUUUCAUAAUUUUUUUUUAAGUUUAAUAGUUAAGAAAUUGAAGUCAAUCUACUAUCGAUUUCUUUUUUUAAAAUAUUUUAAGAUUACUAAUGGAAGAAGGACUAUCCUUUAGUGUUGGUAUUACUCAAUUAGAUCUUUAAAUUUCAAUUGAAGGUGGUGUUGAAUGUGUCUGGUCGUUUUGAUUACAAAGACAAUGAUUUCUUGUGAAAAUAGAUCAAAAUAUCGUAACUAUCCGACUAUGAUGAAAAACUACGGGAGAUUGUUGGUAGUAGCAAUAAGAAGCAUAUUGUUGCAUCUGUGAAGAGGAAAAGAAAGCAAGCUAAGAAAAUAAAAGUUAUUUAUCAAAGGUAUGAAUUAUAUGUAUCUGAUAGUUCUCCUUUGUACAAACACAUACUAUUCAUGUAUUAGGAUAUAAAAACAAACAUAUGUGAAUGAAUUGGUUGUUACUGAUACUUAGGUCUAACCUAAAUAUGUAUCAAUUUAAUUCACAAAUAUUUUGUUUGUGAUAGAUCUUUAUAAUUAUUGUGCUUCUGAUACAUUCAAAAUAAUUGUGUUAUUCUUUUUAACGUAAUGUAUCAUAUGAAUAAAUAAGUCUUCAAAUGGGAGAUUUCGACAAUAAUAUAGAGCGUUGCAGAUGACCAUAUUGUAUUCAUACAUAGCUGUUUAUUCUGAUAUAUUAUAAAAUUUAGGCGUGAUUUUGGUUCUUUCUACACUUGAUGCAUUCAAUAUUGUAUAUCGGAUACAUAGAUCCAAGGUUAAUAAGACAUUGCAUGCUUUAUGAUACAUAAUACAACCUAUAUGUGAUUUUGGUUCAUUUUUAUACCCGAUACAUUUAAUACACCGAUUAUGAUACAUAGAUCUAAUUUUGUCGAAAUAUUAGAUUCUAUAUGAUACAUACUAAACUUUGUACUUGAUUUGGGUUUGUUUACACCUGAUACAUUCAACAUAUUAAGUAUGAUAUAUCGGUAUGAUAUAUAACAUUAUUUCUGAUAAGAUGGGCCAAGGCAUCAAUGUUGUGAACCAACACACAUUUGAUAUCAAAUACGUAGAAAACAUUGCAUAGCAAGCUAGUGAAAAUUUAUAAGUAUCUCUUCACAAGUUUAUCUAUGUACAAAGAGUAAAACUGAAUGUCAUUUUUAAACAUUUUCUAACUACAGAAUCAUUCAUGUUCAGGGACUAUGGAGUAUUUGUGGCAGCUUUUGUUGAGUUUCUUAGAAAUCGAAUGUCAAUUUUGUUAUCAUAUGUUGAUGUUGAAUAUCACCAAAAGAGAUAUAAAAUAUUCUUAUGAAACUAUGGAGUCAAGAAUGCAAAUAAGUAUAUGUUAGCGACAAUGAUGAUCCGCCAAGACUACGGUCAAGUUAUUUCCCUCUGGCCGAUGAUUCAGCUAUUAUUGUCAUAGAAUAGAUACUAGAUUUUUGUCAGAUAUGUUCUAAUUAGUAUUUUGUAUACUGUCUUAGUCGCAAGUAUUAUUUUUAUUUUGAAUACUAAAUUAGAUAUUGUUGUUGUUUUUUAAAACCAAAUUAUUAUUGAAUAUUUGAAUCAGUUAAAGUUAUGGGAUGUUUUACUCACUAUUUACUUUUCUAUUGUCACCACAUGCAAUUCUAUAUCACAGAUAUAGAAUAAAAUUGUUGAAUAGUACUUCAAAAUGUUCAAGUUCUUAAUUGAAAUGUAGUAGGUACUUUAUUUGGUUUCAAAAUAAUUUAGAGAAAAGACAUUUUUUCCCACCUGAACUUGUUCUCCCAACUCACUUUGGCACUUAAACGUAACUUGUAUUUAUUUACCCCCCUUAACAUCUUUAAAGUGCAUUAUUUUCACCCCUUAAUAUAUAUUAUCACUCUCAUAACGGAGAGUGUGUUACACUCUCCACACCUCAGCGCCACCUCAUUGCCACGUAAAAAAUCAUAAUUUUUUUUAAAAAAAGUAAUUUCACACACAUAUUAUUUUUAUAUAUAUAUAUUUUUUAUAUAUAUAUACUCCCUCCGUUUCAAAAAGAAUGACAUACUUUGACUUGAUACAAAGUUUAAGAAAAUAAAAAAAACUUUUGAAAUUUCUGUACACCUAUUUUGUCCCAAUAAUUGUUCUAUCAAUAAGUCUGUGGAUUGGGUAACAAACUUUACUCCUUUCAAAUUGUUGAAACUCCUUCUGCAUAGCAUUGAUCUAACCCCCCCCUCCUCUUUUCCUUUUUCUAUAGACCCCCAACCCCACCCAUCCUCUUCCAAUGCCUGUAGACAUCUAAUUUUAUCCUUCUUAAGUUCAAUUUUAUUCAUUUUUAUCUCACUUUAUCGUACACCUUUACCCAUGUCAUUAUACCCCACAAAAAUACAAAAAAUAACAACCUCUCCAAUUAAAAGAAGACACCUCACACCUCACCACCCCAUACCCCUAGCCUCACCUACCCUACCCCUACCCUCUCACCCAUUCAUAUGCACCCCCUACCCCACUCCUUUUUAUCACAUUUUCAUUUUCAUUUUUGAAUAAGGAGAAAAGAAUACAUCACAACAACUUGAAGGGGGUCCAUGUGAUUUACAGAGGAGAAAGGUUUCAAUUUCCAUUUAUACAUACGGAGAUAGAGAAUGGGGGGGGGGGGGUCAUUCUUUUUUUAUCACCUUCAUUAGGUAACAAAGAAUAAACAAAAUCCAUAUUUUGGCUCUUGGUUUUCUUCUUCACGAAGAAGGCACACACACACAAAAAUAAGAAAACACACACCCACACGCACAGAAUCACGCAACAAAAACACAUCUAUAGGCUAAUAGUGGUGAUUGAUAAAAGGAAUUUGGAGGUGAGAAUUGAAAAUUGACAAAAAGGAUGGAUUCGGUUUAAUUUUGAUUUAUUAUUGAUAUGAAUCAUUGUCACACCCCUUUUUCAUACUUCAAAAGAUUGAUUUUAAUGUUUGAAAGAGUUUAAUUUAUUGAGUGACAAAAGAAAAAUGAUUUGUUUCGAAAAGAAUUAUUUACAUUUUUAACUCAGAGUCACCACUUGUUAUAAUCCGGUGUGCCAAGUCACCUUUGAAAAAUCCUUUUCAAAACGAUUUGAAUUUGUAAAACUGGCUUGUGAACAGAGAUUCCGGUUAAGGAAUUCUGUUGACCGAGGGGAAAGUGUUAGGCACCCCUCGAUCCCGUGGUUUGACCACGAUCGCUUGGCGGAGUAUAUCGGCUAAUUUUGACGCUAUGAAUGUACAAACCACAAAUAAGCACUUAAAGCAAUCAAACCAAAAAACCAAACAACAUGAAUAAAAGUAUAGUGUUUAGUCCAAUUAUACAGUCCCAAAAUAAAUAAAAUGCGAAAAUAAAUCCUAUCUAACCUAUACUAAUCCUAACUACGCUCCCCGGCUCUACCCGAUGCCUCGGGCCUUGAUCACGAUCCACCUUCGCAUACAUGGUACGUCGGGGCAUUCCCCGGUGAAUAAGUAUAACAAUCUUUGGGGCAUUCCCUGACCAAAUGAAUACAUUUUAAUCCAGAUGAGAUAAACUAGAAAAUAUUCAACCAAUUUCAACAUUCACACAUUCAGCAACACAUCAUUCCUAAAUUUUGACUACCCCUAUUACUUGCCCAUCCUUUUCAACGUAUCAUAAUUCCCUCACAUUCCGACAGUAUUCGUGCGUAUUUCAAAUAAAGCAAAUCGACAACAAACUCAAAAUUAAUCUACAUUCAAACUUUAUUAAAUUUCUUAACCCCACCCCCAAAUGGAUUCCUUUGAUCAAUCAAUGAUUAACAAAUUCCUCGGUUCAAAUCACCUUUCACAGUCCCAAAACCAACAUCCAUACAUCCGCCCAAUGACAAAUCAAACAUACUAAGCACAUGAAUCAUUCAUACCCACAACAACAGUUAAUGCUACUAAAAAUAUUCAAAACCACGUCAAAAAUCAAGACAAAGCCACAUUCGAGAUAAUAAAAAAGUAGAGUUAAGAGAUGGACCUUUGAAAAAUGAUUUUGUUGAUAAUAAAGUUUGAGAGAACCCGGACUUGAAACCCCAAAUAGAAUACCUCAACGGCGAUGAACCAAACUUGGUAUUGGGAAAUUUGAAACCCUAAGAUGGAGAAUGAUGAGCCGAUCGGGACAGAAGCCAAAUCCCCAAAAUCAGUACCAAAAUCGAUGAACCCAGACAGAAAUCACGCCAAAACAAACGAAUUCGAACGUGAUGUUUGUAAGAAAACAAUUCCACAAGUUGAUUCAACUAGAUAUUAGUUAUUGGUUCUUAUUUUAGAUAGCAAAGACCGAAAUUUAAGUUAGCGGUGUUUGAAUCAGUUGAACAACAAUGGAUUUCGGUGAGUUUCAACGGAAAAACAGGGAAAAGAAGCGACUAUCGUCUUAGAUUCGGAUCGACCUGAUGUUGAGGUCGUUAUUUUGCGUCACCGAAGCUCCGACAAACUCAAGCAACGACGAGAACCACAAAAAUAGACCGAAUUCUGGCCGUACUUAGGCAAAAUCAUCGGAACAGUACUCCAUUUUCCGGUUCUCUCCUCCCUUCACAGAUCAUCUCUCUUGAAUCGCCUCCCUAAUCUCUACCCGUUCUUCAUCUCCUCAACUUCUUCUUCUUUCUCUCCUCUCUCUGUUUCGUCUAUGUGUAGGUGUGUGUGAUUGUCAGAGUGAUGGGGAGUUUUUGUGUCUACUCAAAUGUUAGUGAAGUCUGUUAAUCAUGAAAAAAAAGAAAAAAACUCCUGUAUUAGAUGAUGGAUUCCAAAAGAGAAGAAGAUCGUUCUCCUUAUGAUGAAGAAUGGAUGAACAGUAUAUGUUCUUUUUUUCUUUUGAAAGGUUCCCUCUCUCUCCAGUAUUGUGUGUGAAUAUAUCAAUAUAUGGAAAAAUAAUGGUCCUCAAUAAUAGAUGUCUUUAGGAGCAAGAAAAAAGAAAGAAAAGGGGAUGGACCCCCUCUCACGUGCUCUCUUCUUGUGUAUUGUCUCUAUUUCUUUUGGAGAAGAAAAGUUAGGAGGUCACGUGGAUGGGGUAGGGUAGAAAGGUAUUAGGUGGUGAGGUGUUGUCUUUUAAUUUGAGGGGUAGAGGUUAGGUGUCCAUUUUUGAUUGAGUGGGUUGUUGGAAUAUUUAACAUAAGAAAAAAUUAGUUAGGGUUUGUUAUUUGGAUAAAAACAAAACAAAAGAAAUAAAUAAGUAAAAGAUGAGGUGGUUAUUUAUUUGUUCUUCUUGAAGAAAAUUAUAAGAUGGGGUCAAAGUGCGUGAUAACGGAGCAAGAAUUAUUCUCGAUGGGAUAAAAUUACGUGUCUACAUUAUGCCCCCUUUGAAGGUAAAUAUCGAGUGCUUUCAUACAAAGAAGUAGACAAUGAGACAGAAUUUUGUCCCGAUCAUUAUUCGAGGAAAGAAACAAAAAGAAGAAGGGCAACCGAGUCUUGACGAACAUCUUACUACCCGAGUUAUAAGGGAAUCAAGUGAUCAGUAUCUUACAAGAUCGGAAGGAGGUAGAUUAUAUCGAGUUGGAGAGUCGAGUGAGGUUCCAUCGAGGUUUCGGUCCACGACUCUGUCAUUACAUCAAAAAUUAAAAGUACAAGUUAAAACAUAAAUGAAAUUACAAAAUCCUAUCUAUGCAGUUUUCCUUGACUCUUGACUUGAGUUUUAUCAUCCUAUUCUUCAGGCGGGCUCCUAGUUUGCAAUUUCUUUCAACUUGUUGCUUGGUUUUCCAUUGCUUCACUUCGUUGCUCGACUUUCAUUUAUUCGCCCCGCUUUUCAGGCGGGCUUCUGACUUGCCAUUUUUGUCCUUCAAUUUCAUCACCUUGUUCUUUAGGCGGAUGCCUACCUUGCAGAUUCAUCACCCUGUUCUUCAGGCGGGCUCCUGAAAUCAAAAAUAAAACUAGAAACAAAAUUAUCUCCAACAAAGAUUAAGAUAAUGAGAGACUUUAUUUUUUCUGAAACCAAUGUCCCAUUUUCCAGGAGGGUCCUGAACAUAAAGUAAAUUCCAUUUUACAGGAGGAUCCUAAAUAGAAAGUAAAGUCCCAUUUUCCAGGUAGGUCCUGAACAGAAAGUAAAGUCCCAUUUUUCAGGAGGGUCCAGAACAGAAAGUAAAGUCCCAUUUUUCAGGAAGGUCCUGAACAGAAAGUAAAAUCCCAUUUUUCAGGAAGAUCCUGAACAGAAAGUAAACUCCCAUUUUCCAAGAGAGUCUUGAACAGAAAGUAAAGUCCCAUUUUUCAGGAGGGUCCUGAACAGAAAGUAAAGUCCCAUUUUUCAGGAGGGUCCUAAACAGAAAGUAAAGUCCCAUUUUCCAAGAGGGUCUUGAACAGAAUGUAAAGUCCCAUUUUUCAGGAGGGUCCUGAACAGAAAGUAAAGUCCCAUUUUUCAGGAGGGUCCUGAACAGAAAGUAAAGUCCCAUUUUUUAGGAGGGUCCUGAACAGAAAGUAAAUUCCCAUUUUUCAGGAGGGUUCUGAACAAAAAGUAAAAUCUCAUUUUUCAGGAGGGUCCUAAACAGAAAGUAAAAUCUCAUUUUUUAGGAGGGUCCUGAACUGAAAGUAAAAUCCCAUUUUUCAGGAGGGUCCUGAACAUAAAGUAAAAUCUCAUUUUUCAGGAGGAUCCUGAACAGAAAGUAAAAUCCUAUUUUUUAGGAGGGUCCUAUACUGAAAGUGAAAUCCUAUUUUUCAGGAGGGUCCUGAACAUGAAGUAAAAUCUCAUUUUUCAGGAGGGUCCUGAACAUGAAGUAAAAUCCCAUUUUUCAGGAGGGUCCUAAAUAGAAAGUAAAGUCUAUUUUUUAGGAGGAUCCUGAACAGAUAGUUAAGUCCCAUUUUCCAGAAGGGUCCUGAACAGAAAGUAAAGUCCCAUUUUUUAGGAGGGUCCUGAACAGAAAGUAAAGUCUCAUUUUUCAGGAGGGUCCUGAACAGAAAGUAAAAUCCCAUUUUCCAGGAGGGUCCUGAAUAGAAAUUAAAUUCCAUAGAUGUGUUUUUCCAAUGGUAAGUGAAUUAAGUGAAGCGAAUUUUCUCCUGUUUCAACAAAGAAAAUUUGUCAGUUAGAAACUUAGUGGUGGUUUGCAGCACUUGGCUUCUCAGGCUUCCGCUCCAAUAGUUGUUCCUUUCAUCUUUGUUUCAGAUUGCUGACGCUUGCCCCUGUCUUGUCGUAUCAUUGACCCAAACCAGAUCAGGGGAAAAGUCUUUGACUCAAAUACCGAGUUUGUCUUUCAGCAUGUCUCUGAGAUGCCCCUUUUGAAAGCUGAAUAUUUCACGCAUCCAAGAGCCUGCCGGUUGAUGAACUUUCUUCGCUAUGUUUUGAAUUAUGAUCCUAUUUCUUUUAUGUGCUGGUCCUUGGAUUUUCCUCCUACAAUUGGAAAACCAGGUAGCAAGUUUUGAAAACCUUUCUCGCUUGUUUUAACACUGAAGAGACUUGACUUAAAAUGUACAGAAAUGAUGGUGAAUUUUAUUUUGAUAAAUGACAUAAGAAGACAAAAUAUGAAUACGUAAAUGAAAGAAAAGGCCAAUGUCCCUUAUUCAAAAAGAAAACUUAUCUGAAUACGGCAACCAACUCAAUGAGUAUGACAUGCAUUUUGGAUUAAGCUGCUUGAUCUUCCUAUCCAAACUUCCCAUUUGUUGUUGAGUUAGUGCCUUUAACGUUGAGCUGCUUCUUCAAAUCCAUUAGACUCAUAUAUCUCAUUUAAUUGACGACAUCUUAAAAGAUUUUCGCCAACAAACCUCUUUCCUUUUCACCUUUCUUUCGAACUCGCCAUCGCCUUACGAUGCCCAUGAGGGUUUUCACCAAUAACACUCUCUCAUUUUAUUUCUCUCAACUCACCAUCGCCUUAUGGUGCCCGCAAGGGUUUUCACUAAUAAGACUCUCUUAUUUUCAUUUCUUUCCUGAUUUCUUACGCUGCGGAAAAUAAGUAGUACCCCACGAUAUAUCAUCAUAUCCAUUGCAUGCUUAGCCUUAACAUUAUCAAAAAUUGAUCUAAAGACUUUCUUUGAUUGUAACUUGGCUUUUGGAUAAGGCUAGAAAAAGAUGGCAAAAGGCUCAAAUGACACUUGAAGUGGGGGUGGGACUUACAAAUUUUGUAAUCAACUCAAACAACACAUUAACUCAUGCCCAGUUUUUUGCUGACUGGGUGACUCUAAAAAUCUUUAUUUGGUUGGACCGAUCCCUGAAUAGGGUAGCCUACGUAUAUCACUCCCAAGAGAGGAGAAUCAGGCCAUACGUAGUUCCAUCAGCUUGUUCUUUGUUUUGAAUUGAUUUUUUUUCUUCUUUUUUUGAACUUUUUCUUUCAUUAUUAUUUUCCUGACAUUUAUCUUUGACUCUAUUCUAAUUCCAAAAGAGGGAUAUGAAAGAAAAAUAGAACUAAGCUCAAACGGGAUAAACAAAGGAUGACACUAUGUUUGGAUAGCAGAAUGAAAUGCCUCCAUCAUAUCAAUCUUCAAUAAUGCAAGUACUAAACAUGCAAUAGAACCAACAAAGGAUAAAAUAUCAUACAUAAUAUCUUUUGACCGCAUCAACAUUGAUAGCCAUCUCUACCAUUUUGCCUUCAAUAUCUGUCAAAUAUAAGGCUCCAUUGGGCAACAUUUUCUUCACAAUGAAAGGACCUUGCCAAUUUGGGGAAAACUUGCCUUUUUCUUCAACCUGAUAAGAAAGGAUACGCUUCAACACCAACUGACCAACUUCAAAAUUUCUGGGUCGUACCUUUUUGUUAUACGCUCGAUCCAUUCUCUUCUGAUAUAAUUGGCUAUGACAUACCGACGCUAAUCUUCAUCAAUCAAGCUCAACUAUUCCAAUCGGGUUUUGACCCACUCAUCAUCAUCAAUCUCUGCUUCCACAAUACUCGAAGAGAGGAAAUUUCAACUUCUGCGAGAAUGACUGCUUCUAUCCCGUACACCAACAAAUAUAGAGUUGCCCCUGUUGAAGUGCGAACAGUAGUACGAUAACCUAGCAAUGCAAAUGGUAACUUCUCGUGCCAUUAUCUGGACCCUUGUACCAUUUUCCGCAGUAUCUUCUUAAUAUUUUUAUUGGUGGCUUCCACAGCGCCAUUUGCCUUUGGACGAUAUGGAGUGGAAUUUCAAUGUGAGAUCUUAAACUUUUGGCACACUUCUUGCAUUAAAUGACUAUUUAGAUUGGCGGCAUUAUCUGUAAUGAUCAUCUUUUGGAUUUCAAACCUACAAAUAAUGUUGGUGUGAACAAAAUCUACCACUGCCUUCUUUGUUACUGACUUGAAACUUACUGCUUCUACCCACUUUGUGAAGUAAUCUAUGGCCACCAAAAUGAAUCUAUGCCCAUUUGACGUUUUUGGCUCAAUCGGUCCAAUCGUGUCCAUUCCCUAAGGUACAAACUGCCAUGGACUAGAUAUUGCAUGCAACUCAACAGAAGGUGAAUGUAUCAGAUCACCGUAUACUUGACAUUGAUGGCACUUUUGAACAAAUCGAAUAGAAUCUCUCUCUAUAGUAAGCCAAUAAUAACCUGCCCGAAGAAUCUUCUUAGAAAAGACAUAACUGUUCAUAUGCGGCCCGCAUACUCUAGAGUGUAUUUCAACCAUGAUUGUCAAGGCCUCUUUUGCAUCUACACACCUCAAAAGUCCCAGAUCCGGGGUUCUCUUAUAUAAGAUUCCCCCACUUAAGAAAAAUCCACUAUCCAAACGCCUAAUAGUCCUCUUUUGAUCGCUGGUGGUAUAUGUUGGGUAUUCUCCUGACUGAAUGUAUCGCUUGAUAUCAAGGAACCAAGAUUCUCCAUCAAGCUCUUCUUCAACCGCAUUACAGUAAACAUGUUGAUCACGACUCUGUAUAUGCAUCGGAUCGAUGUAGGCUUUAUCAGGAUGUUGGAGCAUUGAAGACAGAGUGGCGAAAGCAUCAGUAAUCUCAUUAUGAAUCCUUGGAAUAUGCCUAAAUUUUACUGACACAAACCAUUGACAUAGAUUCUGCAAGCAUUGUCGAUAGGAUAUGAGCUUCAAAUCUCGCGUCUCCCAAUAGCCUUGAAUUUGAUGGACGAGAAAAUCUGAAUCCCCCAACACUAAUAGUUCCUGGACUCCCAUAUCAACAGCUAACCUCAAACCAAGAAUGUAAGCUUUAUAUUCUGCUAUGUUAUUGGUAUAAUUAAAUUGAAGUUGCGCUGUUAUCGAAAAAUAUUGCCCCGCCUUAGAGUUAAGAACUGCACCUACUCUGACUUAUUUCAUGUUGACAGCUCCAUCGAAGAAUAACUUCCAACCUGGAUCAGCAUCUAUAACGACUUCAUCAACACACAACACUUCUUCAUCAGGAAAAUAUGUCUUUAACGUCUCCUACUUUUCAUCAAUGGGAUUCUCAGCAAGAUGAUCUGCGAAGUCUUGGGAUUUUAUGGUGGUUCGAGUCACAUAUACAAUGUCGAACUCAGUAAGCAAUAUUUGCCACUUUGCCAAAUGACCGAUCGACAUAGGCUUCUAAAAGAUAUACUUUAAAGGAUCUAGGCGGGAGAUGAGAUAAGUAGUGUAAGACGAAAGAUAAUGCUUCAACUUCUGUGCUACCCAAGUUAGGGCACAACACGUCCUUUCAAGAAGAGUGUACCUGGACUCAUAUGCAGUGAACUUUUUGCUAAGAUAAUAAAUAGCCUGCUCCUUUUUACCCAUGACAUCAUGUUGACCCACGACACAACUGAAAGAAUUAUCCAUGACUGAUAAAUAUAAGAUCAAAUGCCUACCAGGCUCCGGUGGUACCAGCACAGGCGAAUUUGAUAGAUAUCUUUUGAUUUUAUCAAAUGCUUCCUGACAUUCUUCCAUCCACUCUACCGCAACACUCUUUUUCAACAACUUAAAAAUGGUCUCACACGCGGUUGUGAGUUAAGCAAUAAACCUACUAAUGUAGUUUAGUCUACCAAGCAAACUCAUCACCUCUGUCCUAUUCUUGGGCGAGGGCAAAUCCUGAAUGGCUUUGAUUUUCGAGGGAUCCAAUUCAAUUUCCCAACGGGUGACUACAAACCCCAAUAACUUUCCAGACGGAACUACAAACACACAUUUUGUCGGGUUGAGCUUGAGAUUAUACCUGCAAAGCCUUUCAAAGAACUUUCUUAAAUCUUUAACAUGGUCAGCCUGACUUUUUGACUUAAUAAUUACAUCAUCUACAUAGACCUCAAUCUCCUUAUGCAUCAUAUCAUGAAACAUAGUGGUCAUGGCUCUCAUGUAUGUUGCUCCAGCAUUGUUCAAACCAAACGGCAUCACUCGAUAGUAGUAAGUUUCCCAUAGUGUGAUAAAAGACAUUUUUUCCACGUCUUUAUCAUCCAUAAUGAUUUGGUGGUAUCUGGCAUAGCAAUCCACAAAAGAGGCAACCUCGUGUUUAGCAUAAUUGUCCAACAAAAUAUGGAUGUUGGGCAAUAGAAAAUCAUCCUUUGGACUUGAUCUGUUCAAAUCACGGUAAUCAACACAUACUUAAAUUUUGCCAUCUUUCUUUGGCAAAGUCACUCUCCUGCCUCAACCAUGUCAACUUCGAUCAAUAGGUUCUGGAAGUCAUCAACCAAUUCAGCUCCAAACUCUAUAGGUGCCACAACACUGCCCUUGAUGAAUGACUUACUGAGUAGGGGAACUGGGCGAGAGAGUGACCAUGUUUCCUUUUUCCUUCUCUUGGCCUUCUUCAGAUCUUCAUCCGUAGGUUUAAAUCCCAAACCAAAAGUGCCCAUGGUCUCAUUUGGACAUAUGGGACGAACCAUACCGUGCAGAGACACUUCCAAACCCCUUCUUGGCUCGAAUCCAUAUUUUAACAUUUCAUUUAUCAUCAUGAUAGAAGCGGGAGACAAUUGUGGCCCUGGAAUAACCUGUCCUUCAAUGAUACGAUUCACCGACACUGUAUUAAAAGUUUGAUAGACAAAUGUCUCCUCUAUAUUGUUUGCUUCAAUAAGGAACAAGGGAGAAUCUUCGUAGGCGGACAAAUCCCCUUUACCAUGAAUAACCACUUCUUGCCUGUCAUACUCAAACUUGAUCAUUUGGUGCAAUGUAGAUGCAACUGCCAUAGCUUUGUGGAUCUACGAUCUUCCCAACAACAGAUUGUAAGAGGAGUCUAUAUUCAAUACUUGAAACUCUAUGACAAACUCAACUGGCCCUAUAAUCAACAUUAGUUCUAUUUCACCAAUGGAGUUUGAUUUUGCACCAUUGAAAGCCCUAACACAUACAUUGUUGGGCCUGAUCCUCUUAACAUCAAUAGUUAACUUUUACAAAGUAAAAAUAGGGUAGAUAUUUGCACCUGAACCUCCGUCAAUCAGGACAUGAGUGACAUAGAAAUCUUCGUAUUUCAUCGUAAUGUAAAGACCCCGGUUAUGCCCCGUACGUUCAAUAGGCAAUUCAUCGUCAGAGAAGCUGAUCCAAUUGACCUCAAAGAUUUUUCCAACUAUUUUCUCAAGAUGAUUUACUGUAAUCUCCCUAGGAACAUAUGCUUUAUUUAAUACCUUCAAUAUAAUAUCACGAUGUUCCUUGGAAUGCAACAAGAAAUUUGAGCAGGGGUUUUCUUCAACUGAUCUAUUAUUGAAUACUCUGGCAACUUCAUCUUUUUCAAAAAUUCCUCAUCUUCUUCUUUGGUAACAUGGUUUUUGAUAGAUGAAGGUCCACUCACAAUUGGCUUGGACUUCCUUAAACUUUCUGGCAUGAAGCAUCUUCCUGACCGAGUCAAACCCCCUACCUCAUCUACAUCUUCCACUACUUUCUUCCCUUGAUAGGUCAUCACAGUCCGCUUAUAGUUCUAGGGAAUAUUUUUCAUAUCAACUAUUGAAGGUUGGGUCACCAGUUUGAGGAUAAUAGGCGCUGCCAGUGCUCUUUUCACCGUCAAGAUAGGCUUACCCAGAGCUCCUACCACGUCAACUUAGGUUUAUCUUGACUUAAACCAGCGGUUGCUCCGAAUCCUUUUAUCGUGAUCAGGGGUCUCUUUGAACUUUCCUUGACUUUAUCUUCUCUCUUUCCUUUCUGGCUUAAUGACAUUGCUUUCAACAAAUCAGCUACAUCCACCAAUUUUUCCUUAUUGGUCUGUAUCUUGACAAUAGGCUUAUAACACCUUGAAGACUCUUCCACAUUAUAUAUCAAUUCUAACAUAUUGGUUUCAGCAUGUGUUGGCAGCGGAUUCUGGUUAAUGUUUGGAACCUCUGGGGCCUGGACUAGUAUCAGAUUUAUGUUAAUUAAAUCUUGGACAGCUCUCUUUAAAUUCCAGCAUUUCUCGAUAUCAUGGCCUGGCAUGUCAGAACAGUACGCACUCCUUAAAGAAUAAUCGAGAUUCCUUGGAGGUGAAUUUGUAAGCCUUCCUUGAAUUGGGCUUAAGACCUUCAUGUUUCUCCACCUAUCAAACAAGCUAGCAUCUGAUUCCCCAAGAGGUGAGAACUAAUUUUUUAUCGCCUUUUCUUUCUUGUACUCGGGCCUAGGUUGAAAACCGGGUUUGGAGGGAUUUUGGUAAUUUGGUGGAGCUGAUGGGUAAUUUUGUAGAGCUUGCGCACACCAUUGAGAGUAAAAAGGGGUUAGGGGUGGUGGAUCAAAAUAUAAUGGGUUUUGUGGAGGGUGGUAAUAGUGGGGAGGAAUAUAUAGAGCUUGGGCAUAAACUUGGGCAUGGGAUUGGGGAUAGGGGUGAGGCGGUCUUUUGGGAUAGGAAUGGGUUCCAGCUACAAUGGUUGUCAUGUCUUCUUUCUUCUUUUUACCUCCAAACGCGCCAGAUCCACCUUAAAUUGCUUGUGUGGUGGCUUUCAAUGCGGCAAAACUCACUAUUCGGACAGUCUUGAUUCCUUUCUCUAUCAUCUCUCCCAUUUUGAGGACUUCAAUAAAAGACUUUCCCAUUAUCGAAAGUAAAUGUUGAAAAUAGGUCUCAUCCUGUGCUUGAAUUAAGACCUCUACUAGCUUACUCUCCUUCAUUGGAGGCUUUACUCUGGUGGCCUGUUCACGCCACCUUAUAGCGUAUUCCCUAAAGCCUUCAGUGCUUUUCUUCUUCAUGUUGACCAAGGAUUUUUCAUUCAAAAUCAAGUCGACGUUAUACUGAAAAUGUUGCACAAACUCAGAAGCUAACUCGUCCCAGCUAUUCCACUUGUCGAUAUCUUGAUCGACAAACCAUUCUAAUGCCAGAUCAGAAAGGCUCUCGUCAAAGAAAGCUAUAAAUAACUCUUCCCUUCCCCCUGCAGCCCCCAAUUGGUUGCAAUAAUAUCUCAAGUGUGUCACGGGAUCACCGUGCCCAGUAUACUUCUCGAACUUGGGCAUUUUAAAACUGAGGGAAAGUUUAACGUUUGGGAACAUACAAAGAUAUUUAUAGGAAACACUCUUAUAACCUUCAAUUCCCUACAAAUUUCUCAUGGCAUGUUCCAAACUUUUUAAUUUCCGAGCUAUGACCUCCUAUUCCUCUAUUGCGAUAGGUUUCUCUGUAUCAAAUAGAAAUGGAGAUGGUUGAGUGUACCCAUACAGUUCAUUCAUUCUCAAAGUAGGCUCCGGGGCAUAAUACUAACUAUCUGAAACCUUCAAUACUGGAUCGCUAGCAGACCGAGAAAGCACCAUUGUUAGACGCACAACAUAGGUGGGAACUUCAGGUGGUGGCAAAGCCACAAAAAUAGGCGCUGCCGGUGGCACUGACUGAAUCAUGGGGGCACAUUAGAAGUGCCAGGGUAAUAUUGUCGUGGAGAGAAUCCUGGUGCGUGCUCCAGUGACUCAAUGGGAACAGAGAAUUGCACCUGAGAGAGCGAUGGGAAAUUGGGGAUAUUCCCAAGAUCUUCCGGGAGUGGAGGGGGAGGCAUGCCACUAGACCAUGCUCGGUGCAGAUCUAGCAAUUGUUGUCUAAGUCUCAAUAUCUCAUCAUUGCGUUCUGAACUUUAUUCCCUGGGAUCCUGAUCUGGGUCCAUGAGUGAACUUUCAAUCUCCCUACUAUCCAUGGCAAGCUUCGAUUUUGAUCUAGUGAAGUACGGAUGACUAGCCAGAGUGCUGCAAACCAACCACUGUUAUAUGAAAGAACAUGCUCAUCAAAGACAACACCCGUUAGGAUUAGGCCACACAACAAGCAUGAGAAUCACAUUGGUAAAAUUUUUCUAGAUUCAUGUUCAUUUCUACCAGCCUUUGAGGGUAGUGAGGUCAUUUUAACAUCAUCCUGAUUUUCAUCUACACCCAUUUGCUUUUUUUCUCUACCCACGCCUCUUUUCUUUUACCCUCACUUCUCUCUUCUUUCGCAUCAGUCUCUUUCCUUUCUUUUCUCGUCUUAUCAUCCUUUCUUUCUUUUCUUCUCUCGCUAUCUACCUUCUUUUUAUCAUUCUUUAUGGCUUUUUCUUUUCUUUAAAAUAGGAAAAAUAAUGAAAUAAAAUGAUUAGAUCGAAUCCAAAAGCAGGUUGCCUACGUAUCAUGUUGUACAUGAAUCAGAUCUUGCGUAGUUCAGGAUGCAUAUGCAUAAACAUCACAUAAUUGAAGGUUUUUUUCACGAAAAAUGAAAACAAACAAACAAAACAAAGACUUAACAUCAUAACAUUUUGAUGAAAGAAACAACAAAAAUACACAACGAAAUUAAGACAACCUCGAUACUAAUCAACAAAGACUAAAUGACAUUCUAGACUAACAUGACAACAUACAUAAUGCUCUUAAUAAAGACUCCAAAGUUAAAGCAAACUUGACAUCGACUUAACAAAGACACAAUACUACAAAUGGCAGAAAAGUAAAGGACUCAAACUAAACAAAAGAUAGGAAAUGCUCCUUCAAACUGGUGCUCUGCGUGAUGACCCUGGCUGAGAUGGACCUGUCUGUGAAGUUAUCUUUCUCCCAUUCAAACUAUGUAGCAUAUCUUGUAAGUACCCUUCGAUAUUUAGGAAUAUGCCUCUGGCACGUAUUCCUGCCUCAUGAGGAGUACACUUUAAAAGACUAUUCUGACACCCUUCCACAGUUUUGAGCAAACCUAAUAACUGAAAUCUUAGUGCCUUUACCUUGGCCCCCGCCUCUUCAUCCUGAUGAUCACCAACUAUGCAUUCAUCUUGUAUCCUGCACUGGUAAUAGUAUGCUGACACCUUAAGGAAUAGAUUGUAACCAUAUUCCAUAUUCUUGAGUGUAUCCGAGAUUAUCUAAACCUGUCGUGAGAGUAUCCAUGCCCUUCCAUGUUGCAUUACUCCAGAAUUGAUUAUACUUGAUCUCACCCCUGUCUUGGUCCCUAAAGUACUCCACAUCCUAUUGAAAGUCCACUAUUGGUGGAACAUCUUGCACUCUACCCAAUUAACGCAUUACUCUAAGAGGAGUGUAUGGUCGGGUACAAUUAAGCCACAACAAAACUAGAUGGGGGUCUAUGCUAGAUCCGACCAAGAUUACUUUCGGUCGAAACCAUAGAUAGGUCCACAAGACAUUGCUAUCUAUUCUUGAUUCAAGGAACUCAACCCAAGCAUCAACUUCUAUAGGCAAUGAGAAUUUAGCAAAAACCAUUCUAUGUUCUAUGGUUUCCACUCGACUAGGCAGAUAAUGGUAUAUCACAUCAAAUUUAAGCAAAGAAGGGGCGUGCAAAUGCUCUAUCAUCCAUAGUUGUAACACUAGGUUGCGCCCCUAAAAAAAUUGCAUACCCCCUUUUAUCUCGGUCAAAUCUUUGUAUAUUUUGACUAAGAUCAGAGGUACGAUAGUGACCUUGUCUCCCUUAUCCUUGUUAAAUAAGGCCAUCGCUAUAGAUUGCAACCGAGUAUUAAUACGCCUAUUUUCUAAGGGGAAUACCAAAGUGCCUAACAGAACAAAGGCAAAGACUUCAAGGCGAAGUUUCUCCCAAUUCUUCUUAGUUGUAUAAAAUUCAUCCCAAAAAGAAUCAAAACCGUCUAGGAGGCCAAACCGAGUAUACAAGUAAUCAAAAGAGAUCCAAGAUUGGUUAAGGCAACCCAGAUGGUCAUUAACUUUCGACCCAUAGCAGUAGAGAAACCUAUUUGGAGAGUGACACCGCGCUCAAAUCAUCAUCUUUUUAAUGUAGGAAAAUUUAAAUAAACCCAGAUAUCUCCGCCAGGGUAGGUGUCUUUUCACAACUCCUAAACCUAAAAACCAGACAAGUUGGAUCCCAAAAAUUCAAUGCAGCCUCGAUCAAGUUUGGACGGGGCAUGAUAGAUAAGAGAGAAGUGAGAGUGCCUAGCUUAUUUGAUAACUCGUGCCUUUCUGAGUAGUUGAACGUGUCCCACCACUUGAAUAACUUUUUGGGCACUUUAGAAACCAUUAGGACUUUAGACCUUGGAGGUAGAUCCAUCCUGUAACAACACACAAGGCUUAUGAUUUAACAAUUGAUAAAAGGGGAGAAGUUCCCGACCCUCGGGAUUUUGACACGUACAGGUUAUCAUACAGAAACAAACCACUUUAGACUUAGAUUAAAACAAAUGGUACCACUAAGUGCGGUCAGCCUACUUGGCCAAGAUUAACCGACGACUCUAGACCAGACUAAAAGGGGGAAGACACUAAGCUAGGACCAAGAUAGUGACCAAAAUAAAAUUUUACCGGACCCACCGAGGGUUGCCUACAUAUCCCGCCCCGAAGGACGAGAAUCAGGUACGCAUAGUUCGUCCCGCUUGGACAAUAAAGAAUUAAAUGACAAACUAAACCCUGAAUUGAGAGACACGACUAAAGACAUACUAGUAAAAUCUUUUUUGUGUUUUUAAUUAGAAACUAACACCAACAACUAUGAAAGAAAAAUCUUUUUGAUAUUUUCGUUAUACAAAAAAUGUACAAAGCUCCUAUUGAAAGAAAAUUUUUUUUUUUGGAGUUUUCGAAUUGUGAAUACUUACUAAAGAAAUAAAAGAAGAAUAUUUUUUAACAUUUUUGAUUUUUGGAAAAAGAGUGCAAAAAGUAAAAAAGAAAUAUUUUUUUUAAUUGUGAAAAGCAAAAGCCAUAAAGAACCCUAAAAACUAUAAAAAAAAAAAAUUCUUUUUCUUUUUUUUUUUCUCCUUUUUUUUCAAUAAUUUCUUGCCUACACACUUUGCUUCUAACUCAAGCUUUUGCCCAAAUCAGUCUGUCAAAUGGCCUCGUUACCCUUAAAGAUGCAACAUUUAGCACGCAGGGAUGCUUCAGAGGUGAGUCUUCUACAAAGGGCCAGGUGGGUUCCGCUAGAUCUCAAUAUGAUGCAAAUAAACAUGACCUAAAGGCUGACCUAUGCUGGGGUUUACUAACAAGGCUGUUCAGGGGAGCAUAUGGUCAAUAGUGGAUGCGCUAGCUUUCCACCCACUCCAUACCAGCCGACGGCUCUGCCUCCUAAAAAUAAGGGUGACUCAACUAUAGGUCGUGUACACAGUGUUUACUACAGAACUUGUUGCAGAAAGAAUUGACUCGGGUUUUAAAAAUUAUGCCAGAUAUAAAGCGGUAACACAUAAAAGAAAAACUGUAAACACGUAGCACGUAAACACUCCAUAAUGAGAAACAAAUACAAACAAUAACACAAACAAUGUCUAUACACUCAUAAUGUCAAAACAAAGCCGAUAUAACUCCAAAUAAGCUUAAAUUUUGAAAAGAUUCCCCAGCAGAGUCGCCAGAGCUAUCACACCCCUUUUUCGUACUCCAAAAGAUUGAUUUUAAAGUUUGGAAGGGUUUUAUUUAUUGAGUGACAAAAGAAAAAUAAUUUGUUUCGAAAAGAAUUAUUUACAUUUUUAACUCAGAGUCGCCACUUGGCAUUAUCCGGUGUGUCAAGUCACCUUUAAAAAAUCCUUUUCAAAAUGAUUUGACUCUGUAAAACUGGCUUGCGAAUAGAGAUUCUGGCUAAGAAAUUUUGUUGAUCGAGGGGAAGGUGUUAGGCACCCCUCGAUCUCGUGGUUUGACCACGGUCGCUUGGCGGAGUAUAUCGGCUAUUUUUGAUGCUAGGAAUGUACAAACCACAAAGAAGCACUUAAAGAAAUCAAUCCAACAAACCAAACAAAAUGAAUAAAAGUAUAGUGUUCAUUCCAAUUAUACAGUCCCAAAAUAAAUAAAAUGCAAAAAUAAAUCCUAUCUAACCUAUGCUAAUUCUAACUACGCUUCCUGGCUCUACCUGAUGCCUCGGGCCUUGAUCACGAUCCGCCUUUGCAUACAUGGUACGUCGGGGCAUUCCCCGGUGAAUAAGUACAACAAUCUUCGGGGCAUUCCCCGGCCAAAUGAAUACAUUUUAAUCCAGAUGCGAUAAACUAGAAAACAUUCAACCAAUUUCAACACUCACACAUUCAAUAACUCAUCAUUCCUAAAUUUUGCCUACCCCUAUUACUUGCCCAUCCUUUUUAAUGUACCAUAAUUCCAUCACAUUCCGACAGUAUUCAUGUGCAUUUUAAAUAAAGUAAAUCGACAACAAACUCAAAAUUAAUCUACGUUCAAACUUUAUUCAAUUUGUUAACCCCACCCCCAAAUGGAUUCCUUUGAUCAAUCAAUGAUUAACAAAUUCCUCAGUUCAAAUCACCUUUCACAGUCCCAAAACCAACAUCCAUACAUCCACCCAACGACAAAUCAAGCAUACUAAGCACAUGAGUCAUUCAUACCCACAAUAACAGUUAAUACUACUAAAAAUAUUCAAAACCACGUCAAAAAUUAAAACAAAUCCACAUUCGAGAUAAUCAAAAAGUAGAGUUAAGAGAUGGACCUUUGAAGAAUGAUUUCAUUGAUAAUAAAGUUUGAGAGAACCCAAACUUGAAACCCCAAAUAGAAUACCUCGACGGCGAUGAACCAAAAUCGAUAUUGGGAAAUUUGAAACCUUAAGAUGGAGAACGAAGAGUUGAUUGGGACAGGAGCCAAAUCCCCAAAAUCAGUAUGGAAACCAAUGAACCCAGAUAGAAAUCAUGCCAAAACAAACGAACCCGAACAUGAUUUUUGUGAGAAAACAAUUCCACAAGCCGAUUCAACUAGAAAUUGGUUAUUGGUUCUUAUUUUUAGAUAAAAAAGACUGAAAUUUGAGUUAACGGUGUUUGAAUCAGUCGAACAACAAUGGAUUCCAGCGAGUUUCAAUGAAAAACCAGGGAAAAGAAGCGACUAUCAUCUUAGAUUUGGAUCGACCUGAGGUUGGGGUCAUUAUUUUGCAUCGCCGGAGCUUCGUAGAACUCAAGCAAUGAUGAGAACCACAAAAACAGACCAGAUUCGUGUCACGCUUAGGCAAAAUCGCCAGAAUAGUACUCCAUUUUUGGGUUAUCUCCCCCAUUCUUAGAUCAUCUCUCUUGAAUCUCCUUCCUAAUCUCUACUCGUUCUCCAUCUUCUCAGCUUCCUCUUCUUUUUCUCCUCUCUUUGUUUCAUCUAUGUGUAGGUGUGUAUGAUUGUGAGAGUGAUGGGGAGUUUUUGUGUGUGCUCAAAUGUGAGUGAAGUCCGUUAAUCGUAAAAAAAAAGAAAAAAAAUCCAGAAUUAGAUGAUGGAUUCCAAAAGAGAAGAAGAUAAUUCUCCCUAUGAUGAAGAAUGGAUGAAUAGUAUAUGUUCUUUUUUUUUUUUGAAAGGUUCCCUCUCUCUCCAGUAUUAUGUGUGAAUAUAUCAAUAAAUGGAAAAAUAAUGGUCCUCAAUAAUAGAUGUCUUUGGGAGCAAGAAAAAGAAAGAAAAGGGGAUGGGUCCCCUCUCACGUGCUCUCUCCUUGUGUAUUGUCUUUAUUUCUUUUGGAGAAGAAAAGUUGGGAGAUCACGUGGAUGGGGUAGGGUAGGAGGGUAUUGGGUGGUGAGGUGUUGUCUUUUAAUUUGAGGGGUAGAGGUUAGGUGUCCAUUUUUGAUUGAGUGGGUUGUUGGAAUAUUUAAGAUAAGACAAAAUUAGUUAGGGUUUGAUAUUUGGAUAAAAACAAAACAAAAGAAAUAAAUAAAUAAGUAAAAUAUGAGGUGGUUAUUCAUUUGUUCUUCUUGAAGAAAAUUAUAAGAUGGGGUCAAAGUGCAUGAUAACGGAGCAAUAAUUAUUCUCGACGGGACAAAAUUAUGUGUCAACAAUCAAGAUAGAUUUAUGAUGUGUUGAAAUGGAUAGGCAAUAUAGGGUCGAGUAGGCAAAUUUUAGAACUUGUUGUUUUGGUUGAAUGUUGGAAUGUACGUGUGAAUGUUUCUUUCUAGUUUAUCAUAUUUAAUUCAAAUGUAUUCAUUUAGCCGGAGAAUGCCCCGAGAAGUACUUGUAUUAUUUUAUCUGGGGAAUGCCCCAAAGUAUUUUGUACUCGGAGGACAUCCGUGAUGAAGGCCCGAGGCAUCGGGUGAGGCAUUGGAGCUUAGUCUAGGAUUAGUUUAGAAUAGAAUUUACAUUUUCAUAUUUUUCUAUUUUUGGGACUGUAUAACUCGGAAUGGACACUAUAUUUUUGAUUCAUUUUGUUUUGUUUAUUGGUUUGAUUGUUUUAUGUUUUUUUGUGUGAUUUGUACAUUCGUAGUGUCAAAUUAACCGAUACACUCUACCAAGCGACCAUGAUCGAACCAAGGGAUCGAGGGGUGCCUAACACCUUCCCCUUGGUCAAUAGAAUUCUUUAACCAGGAUAUCUGUUUGCAAACCAGUUUUAAAGAGUCAAAUCAUUUUGAAAAGGAUCUUUCAAAGGUGACUUGGCACACCGGAUUACGUCAAGUGGCGACUCUGAGUUUUGAAUAUAAAUAAUCUUUUUUGAAAUAAAUUCUCAUCUUUUGUCACUUAAUAUUAAAACCCUUUCAAACAUUAAAAAAUAUAAUCUUUUUGGGUUGAAAAAGGGGUGUGACAGCUCUGGCGACUCUGCUGGAGAAUUUUCAGAAUUCGAGCUUAUUUUUGGAGUUGUAUCGGCUUAGUUUGACAUUAUGGGUGUAUAAACAUUGUUUGUGUUAUCGUUUGUCAUUUAUUUUGUCAUUGUUGAGUGCUACAUGUUUAUAGUUUUUCUCUUGUGUGUUACCUCUUUAUAUCUAUCAUCAUGUGCAUAACCCGAGUCAAUUCUUUCUGCAACAAGUCCCGGAGUACACAUCGUGCGCACGAACUCUAGUUGAGUCACCCUUAUUUUAGGAGGGGGAGCCAUUGGAUGCAUGGAGUAGGUGAAAAGCAAGGCAACCACUAUCGAUCAUAUGCUCCCCCGAACGGCCUUAUUAGUAAACCCCAAUGUAGGUCAGCCUUUAGGUCAUGCUUAUGUGCAUUAUAUUGAGACCUAGCGGGACCCACUUGGUCCUUUGCAUCCCUAUGUGCUAAAUGUUGCAUCUCUGAGGGUAAUGUGGUUAUUGUUCGGACUGAUUUGGGGGGGGGGGAGGGGAAGCAUGUGUUAGAAGUAAAGUGCGUAGACAAAACAAUGUUGAAAAAAGAAAGAGAGAAAAGAAAAAAUGAGUAAAAAAAAAGGGUGUCAUAGUUUUUAAAGUUAUUUAUGGCUUUUGUUUUCCAAAAUUCAAAAAGAAUUUUACCUUUUGCACUCAUUUUCUCAAAAAAGCAAAAACGUCAAAAGGAUUUUUCUUUUGUUUCUCUAGUGAGCAUUCAUAACUCAAAAACUCCAAACAAGAUUUGUUUUUCAAUAGAAGCUUUUUAUAAAAGGAAAAUUCAAAAAGAUGGUAGAAGUUUUGGACAUUUCAUAUAACGAAAAUACCAAAAAGAUUUUCUUUCAUAGUUGUUGGUGCCAUUUUUUAUGUGAAGUGUCAAAUUGAAAAUUCAAAAAAAGAUUUUUGUUAUGUUGUUCAUCGUGUGUCUUUGGUCGUGUCUCUAGUCAGGGUGCAAUCUGUUAUUUAAUCGUUAAUUGUCCAAUCUGGACGAACUACGCACCUCUGAUUUUCCUCUCUUGGGAGUGAGAUACGUAGGCAGCCUAUUGUGGGUCCGGGGAUCUUAUUUGAAAAAUUCAAAAAAAGAUUUUCUUCACUCUUCCUUUAAAGUAGGUGUUUCCUGUACAUCUUUAAAAAAAAUCACAAAAAGAUUUUUGUUAAUAGCUUCAAAUCUCAUUUUCAUAUGAAAUUCAAAAAUUGGAAACUCAAAAAGAUUUUUCUUUGGUAAUCAUAGGUUUCGUUUUGUAUAGGGUGUUUAAACCUGAAAAAUGUAAAAAGAUUUUCGUCAAUUCUUUUGACAAUUUAUUAUUUUUGAAGUUUCUGAAAAAGAAAAAAGAAAGGAAAAAGAAUUAAUUGGCCAUUUUGGCAAGACUGCAUGAACUACGCACACCUGAUUCUCCUCUCUCAGGAGUGAGAUACAUAGGCGCCCCUCUUGGGUUCGGUGACCUAUUCAAAAAGAAAAAAAGGUUUUGAAAAAAAAGUGUUGAAUUCUAACGCAUUUUCUAUCUCUUGUUCAGUUAGUUUAAGGUGGUUGGUUUGUGGCAUUUUGGCUGGUCCUCCAUACUGCACCAAGUCACAGAGAAAGUUAUGGCCAACAAGGAUAUCGAGUUUGUUGUCACUGAUCAGAUAAGGAGUUCGGGCAAUGAGAAUUUACGAGCUAAUGAAGAGAUUCAAAAAUUAAGGCAAUAAAUGAUAGAAAUGCAUCGAGCUUGGGCUAAUGGGUUUCCACCUCUUCCAUUUCCCGCUGAUAAUCUGGAAUAUCUUUCUAGCUUACCUCCAGUGUCACAUACAUAGUUUCCUAUUUUUGUUGACACACCACAACAUGCAUCAGGACCUGUUCUGGGGCAACACUAUCCAAAUACUUCCAAUAUUCAUUUCCUCACUCCUCAACACAAAGCUACCACAUGCUUGGCUCCACCCACUGUUUAUGUUUUUGCAGCACCCCGCUCCCCACCCGAAGCUCCUACUAUUAAGGUUUAUCCAUAAGUUGUGCCUCCCCACCCGAAGCUCCUACUAUUAAGGUUUAUCCAUAAGAGAGCCUGUAUUGAAUAUUUUUGCUGAUCAACAUCAUGCUAUUAAGCCCACAUUUAAUUCGACUAAUCCUUAUGGCUAUACUCACCCGCCUGAAUUUUCUCUUAACACUGAGAAGCCUAUUAUAACAGAAGAACAAGAGGAAAUGACCAUAAAAUUGAAAAGCUUGGAACUAGCUAUGAAAGACCUCCAGGGACUUAGGGGGUACAAAAGUGUCUCAUAUAAAGAUCUGUGCAUGUUUACAGGGGUUCAUCUUCCUUUUGGUUUUAAAAUGCCAAAGUUUGAGAAGUAGGAUGGACAUGGCGAUCCUGUAGCAUAUUUGAGACGUUAUUGUAACCAACUAAGGGGUGCUUGGGGGAAGAAAGAAUUACUCAUGGCAUAUUUCGGUGAGAGUCUUUCAGGCCUAGCUUCAGAAUGGUUUGUUGACCAAGACAUCGACAAGUGGAUUAGUUGGGAUGACCUAGCUAAUGAAUUUGUGCAACAAUUCCAAUACAAUGUAGAGUUGAUUCCUAAUGAGAAAUUCCUAACUAACAUGAAGAAGAAGAGUACUGAGACUUUUACAGAGUAUGAGAUUAGAUGGCGUGAACAAACUGCUAGGGUGAAACCGUCAAUGAAAGAAAGCAAGAUAGUGGAGGUAUUUAUUCAAGCACAGGAUGAAACAUAUUAUCAACAUGUGUUAGCUAAAUUAGGCAAGCCAUUUAUUGAGGUCCUUAAAAUGAGGGAGAUGAUAGAGGAUGGAAUUAAGACCGGCCGCAUUGUGAGUUUUACAACAUUGAAAGUGACUACUCAAGCAAUUCAAAAAGGUUCGGGAAGUGUCGAAGGGAAGAAGUAUGAGAAAGAUGCAUUUGCCAUUGUAGUUGGACAACAGGCACGGGUAAGAGGACCACACCAUCGUUACCCACAGGCUCAAAUCCAAGUUUAUGCCCAAGCUCCACAGAAUCUUUCCCAAAAUCCAUUAUACUAUAUUUCCUCACCUACAUAUCCAAUAUACAAUGCACAACCCUAUGGUCAAUUCCUUUCUUACCGACAAUGGCAUGCACCAACUCUUCAGAGUCAUCCUCAAACUUCAUAAACAUACCAAAGCCCUUCUAGGUUUGAUUUUUGAUCCAAUCCAAACAAUGAAAUGAGGCAGAAGUCAAGAGAUAGCUUUACACCAAUUGGAGAGUCAUACGCCAGUUUAUUCUAGAGAUUGGUACAAUAGGGCAUGAUCACUCCUCUCCUUGGGUAUACUUCUGACCCACAUUCAAUAAGUUUUGAUGCUAAUGUAUGAUGUGCAUAUCAUUCUGAUGUUCAGGGUCACAGUAUGGAAGAUUGUCGUUCUUUGAAAGAGAAAUGGAAAAGAUAAUUCAAGAUAAAUCAAUUAUGGUGCAGACCAUUGACAGUAAGGAAAGUUCUAGUCAUGCUGAUAUGCAAACCAGUGGCUAAGAUGUCAGGCAGAACAAUUGAGAAGUCACCUCUCUCCCUACUAGGAGGUCUGGUAGUAUGUUUUAUUUUAUUUUUUGUUGUCCGAAUUAUUUCAGGAUUGUAGUUUGGGAUCUAUCUUGUUUUGUCCCUUUUUCGUUAUGUUCAAACCCUAUCUUUUAUUUUAAUUAAAUGGAGUGUCCCUUUUCCUUUGUAUUUUAAAUUUGUGUUGUUUGUUUGUUUUCUUUACAUAGCACAUUUAUGUUGAUUCUAGUGAAAGACAUGCUAGCAGAAUUUUUAGUCAGAUCUUGAAAUCCAAUUUAAGCAUGAACAUUGAAUUAGAGGGUCAAAGUUAAAAAAGCAUCUGAGAAAAUAGAUAGAGUGCUGAGAUAUUUGGUUACAAGUUGAAGCCUUCUUUGAAAAUUAAGGCAAUUAUUUUGAGAAUCAAAAGAAUAACUUGGUCAUCAAUUGAAAGACAUGUCUCAAUUAGGUCAGAUAGUGGAUGUGUGAUCCUACAUCAAAAGGAAUACAAAAAUUAGCUUAACGAAAGCAUGAGGAAUGUACAACAAAGGUGGAGUUUACAGAAGAAGUAGCGGCGUGCAGCCUCAGUUAAAGUUAAUGCUUAAAAGAUAUCACAAACGAUCUUCACCUGUCAUGUUUAUAUUGCAUGACGUGUACUGGUAUUUUCAAGGAUUGAUAUGAUUAAGGCAUUUCAUUAUGCUAUCCAAACAUUGUGUUAUCCUUUGUUUACCCCAUUUGAGCCUUAGUUUUAUUUUUUUUCAUACACCUCUUUGGAAUCGAGAUAGAGUCAGCAAAGCUCAAAAAAAAAGAGUCGAGCAAAAGAAGAGUGUCAGAAAAGUUUCAAAAAAAAAAGAGAAAAAAAUGUGUUCAAAAAGAAAAAAAAGAAAAGUUAGAAUAUAUUGAUUUUGUGUUCAAAAUCAGGAACUAGUGUUCUGUUCGUGCAUGUUGCGAAUAACUUUCAGUGUGGCUACUACGUUCACGUUGUAAUUUUUAAUGUAAGUAAUUAGGAUCCCUUUUGCUCGAGAUGCAUUAAAAAUCAGCAUAGUAUUAAUGCACCCUUCUCCGUCUGCCUUGUUCGUUUACUAAAUUUUCUAAAAAAAAAAGGAAAUUAACUUGUGUAUAUUUAGUCGUGAUGUUUUGUGCCCGAAUAAUAAAUUUUUCACCCAUCAGAAUCUUAGUGUGUACCUUCUGUACUACGGACCCAUUCAUUACAUACUUGAAUACAUAUUAAACGUUCAUGAGAAUGGGAAGUGUCAUUUGAGAAUAAGGCUUAGAAAUUCCUUUGAUCUAAUAGGGAUAAUAGUAACAUGUGUAAGCUUAUGAUAGUUGAUUAGGUCUUUCUUCUUUCUUCCUUAUUUUUUUAAGCCUUAAUGACUAUAUAAAUCGAAUUAAUUUUUCUUGAUGCCCAUGACUAUAGAAUUCCUUUACGAUAGUUUUAAAGGAAUCGAAGUAUAUGUUUGUGGGUGUGCGAUUUGUUCCUUGUAUAAUAGCAGGUUCAUACUUUUCUGGAAAAAUUGUACAUGUGUGUUGUAUCUCAAGUUCAUGUUUCGUGCUCUAUUAUAUUUAUUUCGUGAUUCAUUUCUUUAUUAAAACUUAAAUUAUUUUCUAAUUCUUAUUUUUCUUUAUUUUCAUGUAAACCCGGGAGUUGGAGUUCCGCAAUGGAACUCAUCUUGACCUAUAGCAUCGGAUCAACAAAUUGCUAGGAUCGCAGAGCCUCAGAGUCGCGUAUAGUAGAAGCUCAAACUCCAUUAGGAGUCUAUAGUAUCUCUUAGUCCGUUCUCUUCAUUUAAUACUCACAUCAUGUUGUUAUUUUUAACUUGAAACUAUAUUUAAUUAUUAGUGAACUUUAUUAAACACUUGUGUGUUUAUAUUGCUUUAGAAUUUAUGAAUUCCUUUAGAAAUAAAUUAAUGUCCUCACCUUGUUGCGAUUAACACGUGACUAGUUAAAUGAACUUUUUUAAAAAUAAAAUAAAAUAAAAAGGGGUUUUAGCAAAUUUAAUAUUGAGAUAACAUUUAAACUAAUUAAUCUCCUCAAAACUUUUUAGAAGACGAGUUUCGUGACCUCAACGUUUUCUUCAAAUAAAGAGAAUUUAGUAUUAUUUUGCAAUUGGAUAGAACUCAAGCUUUUCUUUUAAAAAGAGGCUAUUUAUCAAUUCCAACUUAUUUGAAUAAUUUAAAUUAUAUCAAAUGUUUGAUUCACUUUCAAUUAUUUUUUAAUGCGAGUUUCAAUGUCUAGACCCUUUUUUAAGACCCGAAUAAAUUAAAAAGGAAAACAUAAGGUAAGUAUAUCUACACACUAUCACAUACGAAAUGUUUCAUUGUUACUUUUACUCAAUUUUUAGAAAAAUAAAAUUAUUAUUAUUAUUUUCUACACUUCAUCUCAACCAUACAUUUAUAAGUGUAUUUUUAUUAUUAUCCUUAUCUAGCUACUUUUAACCACUACCUAUUUACAAUUAAAUGAAUAAUAUCAUGGUUUUUUUUACAUUUCAAGAAUGCGCAAGUCUACUUCACGCCAAAAAAUAGUAUGUUAACGCAUUUUGAUAAUAUUUAUAGGUUUUCAGUCUUGGCGAGAAACGUAUUUGUAUAAAUUUACUCCCGAGAUAAAUAAGUUUUUUUUAUAUUUCGAGGCAUAUGCAAUAGUUUACGAUAAAUAAAUAUUUACAUGCCUUUAAAAGUUGUAUUUUCUUUUGCCUCACAAAUGAUUCCUUCAGGCACGUAGCAACUUUAUAUUUUAGCAAAAAUUGUAAGACUUUAUAACAAUAUUAAGGUUAACUUUAACGUUCCGUUUUUAUUUUUGAAACAUGCAUGUGUAUUUUGCAAUACCAUAGAUAGCAUCUUCACAUGUCGUGAGUGUCCAUUUAUAUACUUUGGGUUUUCCUUCAAAUUUGAUGAAUACUUAUGUAGAUUAUCAUUAUAAAUAACAAAAUAAAUAUUUUUCAAAUAUUCUCCUAAACUAAGCGUAAGGACUAUCUUCGGAUAGGCUCUGAGGGGUGCCUAAGACCUUCCCCUUGGGUAACCAAAACUCUUACUCAGAAUCUCAAAAUGUUUUUGAUAGACUAAAACACAGUUUUACAAUAAAAAAUGGUUUUUUCCUAAUUUUCCUAAAAAGUUAAGUGACGACUCUAAAAAAAAUAAAUUUUCAAAUCCCAAGAGUUAUUAAACGCCACCAUACGUCGUGUGCUAUUUCGACCGGUUCGAAAUAGGGUGCGACACUGAUCAUCUUAAUUGACUGAUCUGACUGAGUUCACUUGGUUCCGUUGACUGAAGGAAUACUACUAAGGUCUGAACGGAAUAUUGAACUUGAUUAGAUUGAAUACUGAGAUUGCUGAGUUUUCUUAACUUCUGUCACUAACUGAGAUAUACUGAUCAUAGCACGACUGAGAUUAUUUUGAGACUGACUCAGCUCUAGACAAGCAGUUAAGUUUUUGGGUAUUAAAUACCCCUAAGACUCGACAGCAUAAAUAAAUAAGACACGACAACUCUUGCAUAACAACAAUGACAAUAGACUAUCAUUCGCAGCAUAAUCAAUGAAGUAUCAUUUCGAGCACUUGAGAAUCUUAAACAUGUAAUUGUAAAGGAAAGCAUGCUAUUGUCUCAUAACUUAUCCAACAAGGAAUUCACAUGAAUAGGAAUACAUGCAACAUAUCAUAAUUCAUUCAUUUAGGCCUUUUAACAAACACUUAGCAUGCACUAGUUGACAUAUGCUUGGGAAUAACAUACUUCAUGUUGCAAUGACACUAUUUUCUUCACAUAAGCAAUUUAUCAAACAUGUGGGAGGCACCUUUUGGCCAUACAACAUUCAAUACACCAAAUUAACAUAAUUACAUAAUUCAACAUGUUUCUUAGAGGGACUUUAUCAUGAACAUCACAUAACCAACACAUACUAAGGUCAAUACUUGCAUCUUUAUAAUCACAACAUGAAUUAAAACUUAAUAUUAACAUGGUCUUCAACUUCAAACAAUAUAAAUCAUGAAAAACUCAUAAGCAUAAAAUCUUGAAUUUAAAAAGGGAUUCUUGGACUUCUUGGGUGGAAGGAACCAAGAAUCAACAUCCAACAUACCUUGCUAUAUGAUUCUUGAAAAAUUAACGGAGGAAUUUCCUUGAUUUUGAACCUCAAUAGAAACCCUUAUUCUUGUCCUUGAGGAAAAUUGAGAGAAAGCCUUAUAUUUUGGGAGAAAAUAUGAGAAAUCUCAUGUUAAGAAAGCUUAUAUAGGGGUGAGAUUUGACCAAAUUGCCCUUGGAAAAACAGAAGUAAAAUGCUGAAAAACUGGGGACAAGGGCUAGGGAAAGGCAGUGCUUUUUUCAGAGCCUUUUGUAGGCUGGGCGGCGCCUUGCUACUGAGGGAGGGGGCCAAGGCUCUAAGCUGGACGGCGUCCCUCUGUAUCCUUUAGCUACUAUUUUUUCAACCCAAACACGACCUUAGGCUCGUCUAAAAUUUUUGAACCUCACCCGGAAUGUACUCUUGACUUGCCCCAUCACAAUGCAAUAAGAAAAUCAAGAAUUAGAGGUCGGAAAGGUCACAAAAUAAUUCAUCAAAGUUUCAAAGGCUUAUGGAAUGGAAAAUUUUCAACACUUAGCCAAAUUUUCUAAGUGUUAAGCCUUUCUUGGCAUGCUUUAGAAGCUCUAAGGACUUGGGAAUUUUACGGGGUGUUACACUAUUUCAUGCACAACAACCUCUCCAUCUUCAAAAUCCAGAAGUCGCACCCCUAGAUUUGAAAGCCGAUGAAUAUCUUUCACCAUCUUUAUUUUUCUUUCCUCAACAUGUGCAAGAAUGCCCAUACAUAGUCUGUUGAUGGCGUCGGCCACCACAUUCGCCUUGCUCGGAUGAUAGUGCAGGCUCAUGUCAUAAUUCUUCAACAGUUCCAACCAACACCUUUGCCUGAGAUUUAGCUCUUUCUGCGAGAAAACAUACUGUAAACUUUUGUGUUUAGUAAAUAUAUCAACAUGUACCCCAUACAGAUAAUGCCACCAUAUCAUAAUUGCAAAUACCAAAAACGCUAAAUCCAAGUCAUGGGUGGGGUAAUUUUGCUCGUGCACCUUCAACUACCUAGAUGCAUAAGAUACCACUUUACCAUGCUACAUAAGUACACAUCCAAGCUCCACUCGGGAUGCAUCACAGUACACAACAAAACCUUUUGUACCCUCAGGAAGGGUCAAAAUAGGUGCAGUAGUCAACUUGUCCUUCAAUCUUUCAAAGUUAUUAUCACAAGAGUCAGACCACACAAAUUUUACGUUUGUCUGUGUCAACCUGAUAAGUGGAGCAGCUAUCGAAGAAAAAAUCUCUACGAACCUCCUAUAAUAUCCCACCAAACCCAAGAAGCUUCGAAUGUCGGUUGGAGUCGUGGGUCUGGGCCAUUUUCUCGCUGCCUCAAUCUUUUGGAGGAUAAACCUUAAUUCCCUCACUAGACACAAUAUGCCCCAAGAAAGCAAUAACAUUACGCCAGAAUUCACACUUGGAAAAUUUUGCAUACAACUUAUGAUCUUUGAGGGUCUGAAGAAUAAUUCGGAGAUGAUUGGCAUGAUCCUCCCCACUCAUAGAAUAAAUUAAGAAGUCAUCAAUAAAAACUAUGGCAAAAAGAUCUAGGAACUGAUGGAACACCCUAUUCAUUAGAUCCAUGAAAGUUGCAGGGGCGUUAGUCAAUCCAAAAGACAUGACUAAGAAGUCCUAAUGGACAUAUCGAGUUCGAAAAGCUAUUUUGGAUAUGUCAGCCACCCUAACCUUCAAUUGAUGAUACCCCAAGCGAAGGCCUAUCUUUGGAAAACACUUAGCACCCUGAAGUUGGUCAAAAAGAUUAUUAAUUUUAGGAAGGGGAUUUUUAUUUUUGACAGUGACAUUGUUCAACUGACGAUAAUCUAUACACAUACGGAGGGAUAUAUAUUUCUUACGCACAACGAGCACAGGUGCACCCCAGGGGAAGACACUAGGACGGAUGAAGCCUUUAUCAAGAAGAUCUGUUAGUUGCUUUUUCAACUCUUUCAAUUUAACAGGAGCCAUUCUAUAUGGCGGAAUAGAAAUGGGACGGGUGUCUGGCAAUAAAUUAAUACCAAAAUCUAUCUCCCUAUCAGGCGGUACCCCUGGGAGAUCUUUGGUAAAGACUUCUGGAAAUUUAUUUACUACAGGAAGGGGCUGAAGAGAAGGACUUUCAAUAUUUAAAUCUUUUACUCGAAUCAGAUAAUACAAACAACUCUUAGAUAUAAGUUUGCGGGCUCUAGGUAAGAGAUAAAUUUCCCUCUAGGUUCUAAAGAAUGCCCCUCCCAUUCUGUCACUGGUUUAUUUGGAAAAGAGAAUGUAACCUUUUUGGUUCUACAAUCUAGAGUGGCAUAACAUGAAUGGACCCAGUCAAUUCCUAAAAUAGCAUCAAAAUCAACUAUAUGAAGCUCUAAGAGGUCUUCCAUGGUAUCCCAACUACAAAUAGACAUAACACAGUUUCUAUAUACUCUCCUAGCCAUAAAAGAUUCACCUACAGGAGUGGAAACAAAGAAAGGUUCUACAAUAACCUCGAGCUUAAACCCAAAAUCGGCUACCACAUAUGGGGUCACAUAAGACAAGGUAGACCCGGGAUCAAGUGACACAUAUACAUCACGGGAGAAAAUUUAUAACAUACCCGUGACUACAUCUAGGAAAGCCUCUGUAUCCUGACUGUUGGAUAAGACAUACAACCGAUUGUGACCGUUUUUGAUAACUGAAGCAGCGCCCUUAGGAGAAGGAGCUGUGGAGGCAGUGUAGGACUUAUAUCCCCCUACAUUACCUCCGAUAUAAGGGCAAUCUCUCUAAAUGUGGCCCAUCUGGCCACAGGAGUAACAAUUUUUCCUCUUGAAGUAACACUUCCCCGGGUGAUUCUUCCCACAAUACUACAAUGGGGAAAUGAUUUGGAGGGCUAUGUCACGCUUCCCUAGGAAUGAGUGUCCUAUAUCCUCCAUCUAUUAUUAGCCUGAGGAUUAAAAGAACGCUGAUCACAUGGAGGUAUGGGUGCUGGGGCACUGACCGAAGGCUUUACAUUACCGCAAGUCUUUAUCUUUGACCACCUGUUACCCCAAUCUCCAUCCUGAUGUUGACUAUAGUUCUGAUCUCCUGGUCUGGCCCUCUUGGCCUGUUUGUCUUUCUCUCUUACUUUAGCAACCCUCUGUCACACCUCAAAUCCUAUUGGGGCGAACUGGCACCCAUAACCGAGGAGGCCCGGGAGAACCAGCUCAUAACCUUAUACUUUCCAUGCAUACCUCUAUGACAACUCAAAAUUCAGACAACAUCAUGUCGUAUAUAAAAGGAAAUAAUCACCUAUAUAAGCUCGAGCACACACAUAUAUAUGUAUAUACAAUACUUGGCCGUUAGAGCCAUCACGUCUAUUAACAAAACACCACCUUGACUAUACAUUAGGUCUACAAAGCCUCUAGACAAUACACAGAUUUUAACUAAGGUCGGGACACACCCCGCCAUAUAACUAACUUCUAUACAAUACCAAAAGUGACUGGAUAUGACACGAAAAUCCCUAAAGCAAACUGGAGCUCACCAAAAUCAGCUGGAUAUCUUGGCUCCUACUUGUGCGGUGUAUGAGCUGAGGUACCUGUGCCUUGCAGCAUGAAAUGCAGGUCCCCCAUGGGGGACGUCAGUACAAAAUAUGUACUGAGUAUGUAAAGUGUAGAUAAUCACAUACGAUAUAGGAGCUCAAUAGAAAUCAGAAACAAGUGAAUAAAUCGUAAUAGGAGUGGACCACACUUAUUAGAACUUGUGACAACCUGUACAUUGUAUUUAUUCAAUCACUUUACCUUCGUUCUUAUCAGCUUUGUAAUCAUUACUGUACUGUACUGUGACCAUUAGGCUGCCUCCAGUACAUAUCAACUGGGAUCGACCCAUGAUAGGCUUAUGCCCCUGUGAUACCACCCAUAAACACAUAAAUAGGGAUCGACCCAUGAUAGGCUUAUGCCCCUGGGAUACCACCCGAUAAGAGAGAACUUCCAUCACUUAGUUCAAUUAAUCUUUGAGAUUGUUAUUUCGGUCACCACCAUAUUUUUGAUACUUUGAAACAAUGAUACAUCAAUAGGAACCAAGUAAUAGACCUUCUAUACAAUAACGAUGUAAUAAAGACUCAUUGGUACAUCAACAAUGUGUUUCAGAAUCAUCAAUAUCACAACAAUGAAAUAAGAGCCUUUUGGUAUAUCAAUGAAACAUUUUGACACUUUAUAGAAUGGAAACAACUUCGUUGGUAACGUAGAACAAUACAUGUUUUUGGACAACCUCGGAAUCUUACUUGAUGGAACAUUGGUGUUUUCAUGCCAAAGAACAUUGUUAGAGUAUGCUUUACAUACCUCGUUGUAGAUUCAGAUACCAAUUCAACACAACUUCCCGCCUUUACAAAUCACUUAUCUACAAUGAAAUGUUUGGCAUCUAGUAUUAGCAACCCAACACCACAAUUCUCUUCCAUAAUUCCAUACUACCAAUAUUUGCAAAACAUUCCAAAAACCAACUUGAACAAUAGGUUUAUGUGUGUAUAUAUAUAUAAUCAUCAUUUCAAUACCACAUCAUCAAUACCACAUCAUCACCCCAAAUUCCUUCACAAUUUAACAUAAUCCAACCAUGCACAAGAAUAAUCCAACAUCAUUUCCAAUCAUCUUUCAACAACAAUCAAAUAACAUACUUCUUAUGCUCACAUGCAUAUAUAUAUAUAUAUACAUAUCCAUAUAAAUAACACCAACAUAAUUUACAUCCUUACCAAAAAAAUGGCCCUUUUGAUUUCGAAGUCCUGUUGGCACAAAUAAGGGGUGCUUCUCGAAGCCCUUGAGACGGUGAACACAACUACGGAAUCAAUUUGGAUUUUCUACGGUUGAAUCACAAGAUAAUUGGAGUUGAAAUUUGGCUAGGGUUUCUUAGUUUUCAAUAAUGGAUGAUAAAUAAUGGAUAUGAGGCUAAGUAUAUGGAGAUGACAAACGCAGUUAUCGAAUUACUUUGGAAUUUCUACGGUUGAAUCAAAAGUAAUUUAAAGGUCAAAUUUGGUUAGGACUUGUUCUUUCUCAAUGAUUGAUAAUGAAAAUGAGUUUUUGAACUCAUAUACAUGUAUAUAUACACAUAUUACCGUCCAUAAUAUAGUAAGAAAUGACCAAAAUGCCUUUAAGAUUUAAAUAAUGUCAAAUCUGUCAUUUGGUGGACUAUUUUGUUAAGCUAAAGUAGAUCGACCAUAACUGUUUGCUCCGAUAUCGGAUUUGGGUGAAAUUGGUAUCGUUGGAAGGAUAAUUCAAAGGGCUUUCAUUUCAUAUAAAGUAGGCCACCCAGUUCAUCCUGUACAAGGAGUUAUGGUUGUUUGAAGUUGACCCUAAGAAUUUGUUUUGAUAGGCUGAAGUAAAACGAGUAUAACUCCUUACUCAGACAUUGGAUUUAGAUGAAACCAAUUUCAUUGGAAAGAAUACUCAAAGAUAUUUCUUUUCAUAGGUCGCAGCUCUCCCAAUUCAUUAUAUUAAGGGAGUUAUAAUUGUUUGAAUUUGACCCAAAAAUUCGACUGGCCUCAGUAGUUUGUGUGCAGGAAAUUUUUCUGCACAUUUGCUAUUCCCAAAUAUCCCGGCCACCGUUUUGUAGUUUCGAACAUGCUCGAUUAUAUACGAAGCCUAUCCAUUUUUGGAAAUCUUUAUAUCAUUGGAAAGCUUAUUCAAUAACCUUUUCAUGGAACCAUCGACGGGCAAAUUUUGAUAAAAAUAAAAUAAAAAAAUUAAUUCCAUAUAAAUAAGACCAAUACACGUACUUGAAUACGCCAAUACACGUACUUGAAUACGGGGUGUUACACCCUCUUUUUCUGAUCCUCGACCUGCUGCAUGUGAAUAGACAAUCUAGAGAAGUCCAUGUCCAUGUUCAACAUCGCCUCCUUGCAUUCUAAAACCAAGUCAUCUGAAAGGCCGGAUGCAAACUUCCUCAUACGGGCCCUCAUAUUUUUUGCCAAUCCCGGAGCAUAAUGGGAUAGUUGGUUAAAUUUCAAGGUGUACUCCUUGACGCUUAUCUUCCCCUGCUUUAAGUUCAUAAACUCUUCAGCCUUGGACUCCCUCAACUCCUGAGGAAAUAAUAGAUCCAGGAAGGCUUUCACAAAAUCUCUCUACGUAGAAGGCUCAGCAUUCUCACCCCUUGAAUGUUCCCACUCAUUGUACCACUAAUUUUCUACCUCCUUCAAUUGGUAAGCUGCUAAUUCAACCCCUUCUACUUCAUCCAUAUGCAUCACUCAAAAGAUUUUCUCUAUCUCAUCCAUAAACUCUUGUGGAUCCUCCUCCACCUUUGUACCAGUGAACUUAGGAGGGUUUAUCCUUAUAAACUAACCCACUCGUGAAGCUUUAGAUGUGACAGACGCAGACCCAAUAUCCUCCGACUAUCAAGCCUAUGAAGCCACCAACUGUGCAAUCAUAUGCAUCGACUUUCUGAAGUUAACAUUUGAUAUCUCUCUCUAUGGAAGUUGGGUGCGGUUAGUCCUAGAAUGGGGAGACCUAGGUGCUUUGGGUGGACUGGUCUGAACAGGAGGGACUCUUAGAGCAGCGACAAAAUCAGGAGUGUGGGCCCUAUUACGUGUCGUUAUCCCAUGGAUGGGACGGACAUCUUCAGUCUGGGCAUUCUGAUCAUUGGAGCGACGUGGAGGCAUGAUUGAUUUUCUGAAAUACAAGAGACAUUGAUUAGGUGACAUUUCAGACUCCACAGCAUGAAUUAAAUCACAAGGAAGGGAAACAUUCCUAAACAUCUAGUAGCCUCCUGCCUAUAAGUAUAGCGCGCUACACACCCAUAAACAAGACUCUAUCCGACGCAAUUUUCGCAGACACCCUGGGACCAUGAACUUGGCUCUUUGAUACCAAGUUUGUCAUGACCCAAACAAGGCCCUGGGCGUAACGAGCAUCCCGAGCUGUGAAGGCCCGAGCACCCCUAUGUUAACAGGAAAUCAUACACACAUUCAUACAAUCAUAAAGAGAAUGCGGAAAUGGAUUCAUACGGAAACAUGGUCAAUAACUUCAUACAACUGAAAAUUCAAAAAAUUCAAUAAAACCUUCAACAUCAUCUAACAUUUGUCUGCGAAAUCUCUAGUACAUCAAAACCAGUUAUCAUAACUAAAACUGGGAAAAAAAGAAAUAGGCCUUUCGAAAUAACGAAGGCUCACCAACUGCAGACACACUUCACUUCUGGCUGAAAACUCUAUGGCUUUGCAGGACCUCUAGACUGAGUUUCAGACCCUGGAAUAUAGGGGGUCAAUACAAUUAUAUUGGUACGCAGAGUGAUCCAAAAAUAAAAUAUAAUGUGCUAUUAUAAAAUACUUUAAUGCAAAAUCAUUUGAAAAUAUAUGGGCAUAGUAUAAUGGUUUUUCAACAAUAAUGCAGCACUAUUGAGUUAGAUGGUACGCCCUAUAAUUUCAUAUUUUCACCAACUGCCAAGUCUCGAUUGCCACUAAGAUUGGAGUAUUAGUGAGGGAAGGACACACAAGAUCACACAGCAGGGUGCCACAACCCCAAUCAAGUCAAUAUGUCGUGGUUUGGCUCAAGAUCACAAAGCAGGGCUCCUAACCAUUGUUCCCUAUUUGGGAUGACAUAGUACUAGGUAUACAAGAUCACAUAGCAGGGUACCAAGUUCCCGUGUUGGUAAUUCACGAUUUCCAGCAUAGAGUCAUCUGACUCAUGCUUUCUUUGGGUAACCAUCUAACUCAUAUCAAUUUAAGCUUUAAGUUUGAUAUAAGACAAAACAUGUAUCAUACUCACAACAUUCUCUUUCUCUUUUCAUUUAAGGCAAUUUCUCCAUACGUUUUAUGCUAGUCAUUAUAUGAACACCAACAAGACUCCCAUACACCAAACAUAUGCAUAUCGAUUCCCCAACAUAAAGUAGUCAAGAAACUCCAACAUUUACCAAGCAGUACAACAUUAUCCAAGCAUACUUUUUCAUGAUAAAAAGGGGUUUUAAAACUCACGCUCUCAAUACUUUAACAAUGGCAUUAUGUGGGGUUCAUAAACAUCAUCAUGGGGAAUAAAGGAUUCACAACUCAUGUUCAUAACACCUUGUAAAAUUCAAGUCACAUGUCCACAAAUUAAACAAUUGAGAUAUAUAAGCAAACAGCUCCAUGAUUUUUCAAUAUUCUUCUCAAAACCAUAUCACAAUGCAUGCUUUUUUUGUUAAAACGAAACCCCGCUUAUAAUGGCAUACACACUUACAUAAUUAUUAAAAAAUCUUGUUUAAAUUACUAUCAAAAUCAUGUCCAUGAGAUUUAGGACAACCCCACAUACCUUAGAUUAAUUAGUUUAGAGAGAAAAACUCGAAUCUUGAUUCGUUCCUUGAAAAUCUUGAACUUAGAGGUUGGUUCUUGAUUCCUUGUUCUUGGAAAAAACCCUAAUUUUGAUAUUAUGGAUGAAUGAGGUGUUAUGUCCUUUGAUUUGAUGUAAUUAGGUUUUAAAAAAGUGGAAAAGACCCCAAAAUCCCUUUAAAAACGGCUUUAGAUCGCUAAACAGAGGUUCGGGACAGUUUGGGUGACGAACCGUCACCCCAAGGACGGACCGUCCCUCAAACCAUCGCUUUUUGGCCAGAAAAUAGACUUAUUGCCUCAGUUACGACAAUUUAGGAGACUUUCCAUCACUGGCAUGAUGGUCUGUCGGCCUUCCCGUCGCACUUUGGCAGUUCGAAUAUCUCACUGUAAAAUGGUCAUAACUUUUUACCCUGAUAUUAGAUUUAGGCAAAAUUGGUGGAGUUGGAAAGAGGACUAAAAGACCUUUUAUUUUAUAUAUAGUAGGCCCUCUAAUUCGAUAUAUAUAGAAAUUUAUAGUCGAUUGAAUUUGACCCAAGUUUAAACGCUCACCAAAAUUCAAUUGAUAGGAAGACUUUCAACUUGUCCUUGAGCUAAGGGACCUCUAUGAUCUUAACUCAUGAUCAACUAAUUCCCACACUAUAUAGUUGAUUAACACACUACAUUCACAUUGGAUUUAUGGCUUUUGGAUUAGUUACACGUAGAAAUAACGGUUUACGUUCUAGCCCGAAAUGCGGGGUGUUACAGAAAUUCACUGCAAAAUUCAGGUAAUCCCUUCUUGUAAAGAAUGGUUAUUUUCAGCCAUUUAUGCAAAUAAUAUUAGCUUUGAUAGGAUUCAAUUAUGGAAUAAUUUUCAAAGAAUAACAGACACUACCAACAAUGGUCCUUAGAUUAUAGCGGGUGACUUUAAUGAAGUUCUCUUUAGCUCCCAAAAAUUUGGAGGGGUUAGCCUGAACAUGGGAAGGACUAAUAGAUUCCUUAACUGUCUAAAUUACUGUAAUAUGGUUGACUUAGGCUAUACUGGAAGUAAAUAUACUUGGAUGAAUAAACGUAAAGGAGGCAAUACCAUUCUGGAAUGUUUAGAUAGAAUUGUUUGUAAUUAUGAAUAGUUGAACAUCUUCCCUGAAUCAACUGUUGUUCUCCUUCCUAGGGUUCAGUUAGACCGUAGUACUCUCUUACUAAAACUGAAUUCAGAAAGACAUAUCCCUUACAAACUUUUUUGACUAAAAACUAUUUGGUUGUCCCAUCCGCAUUUUCCAAAUAUUGUGUCAAUAGCUUGGGAAUCUUCAAAUAAUGUUUUGCUCCCUGCUUCUAAGCUUUUUACUAGAAAUGUCAUGCUUUAGAAUAAACAUGUAUUUGGAAAUAUCUUUGCCAAGAAAAAAAGAAUCCUUGCCCGCUUACAAGGCCUUCAGAACUUUUCUCAUUAUCCAACUAGUACCUUCUUUCAAAAUCUUGAAGAAUCCCUUCAGGAUGAGUAUCAAAGUCUCCUUAUAGUGGAGGAGGAAUUCAGGAGGCUUAAUUCUAGGAUUCUCUGGAUGAAUAAUGGAGACACUAAUAAAAAAUUCUUCCAUAUGUUGACUCUUCAAAGAAGGAGAAGGAAUUGUAUCACUAGUUUGAAGGGUAGUGUGGGUAACUGGUUAAACAAGGGCCACCUCAUUAGUAACCAUAUCGCAGAUUUUUAUACCUCCAUAUACUCUUAUGACUUGAACACAUCUACAUGGUCACAUGAUCUAGCCAACUCUUGCUUCGUUCCUGCGAAUAUGGCUUCGACCUUGUCGGCUCCCUUUCUCCGUAAAGAAGUGAUUGAGGCUAUCUACUUUUUUAAGCCGUAUAAGGUGCCUGUACCUGAUGGCCUACAUCCUUUUUUCUACCAACAAUAUUUCCAUUUAGUAGGUGACUCUGUUGUCAACUUUUGCUGUCAGGUUUUCCUUAAUCACUGCAUCCCUGAGAAAAUCAAUAUGACCUAUUUAUGUUUGAUUCCUAAAGUACCGGGGGCUUCCUCUAUCUCCCAAUCCGGACCAAUUAGUCUCUGCAAUACUAUCUGUUAAAAUAGUUACUAAAAUUAUUGUUAAUAGAAUCAAGCCUUUGCUGCCACAAAUAAUAGGUCCGACUCAGGCCAGCUUCCUAACUAAUAGAUGCGCGGCGGAUAAUGCAAUAGUAGUUCAAGAAAUCCUCCACCUUUUUAAGCAUACAAAGGCCAGGGACUCUCAUGCUCUUAUAAAAAUAUACUUGGAAAAAACUUUUGACAGAUUAGAAUGGUCCUUUAUAGGAGAAACUCUUCUCUAUUUUAGAUUUUCACGUGAUUUGGUUAACCUAAUCAUGUCGUGUGUUACCACAUCUACUAUUUCUAUUCUCUUUAAUGGGAAUGCUAUGCCUAGUUUCUACCUGACAAGAGGAAUACGUCAAGGCUAUCCUUUAUCGCCAUAUAUUUUUAUUCUAUGUAUCAAAAGAUUGUCGAGAGCAAUAGAUGAAGAGGUGCAACUUGGUCGGUGGAUACCUAUAAAAAUAUCAUCGAAAGGGCCACCAAUCUCCCAUCUCUUUUUUCGGAUGACACUAUCUUGUGCAUUAAAAUUUAAAAUCAAUCUUGCCAAGAUAUUAUGCAAACCUUUGCCAUCUUCAGUGCCCUUCCGGGUCAGAAAAUUAGUACUGCUAAAUCUAGGUUUUUCUUCUCGAAAAACACGCCGGCAAGAAUAACGUGAAACGUUUGCUCACUAGUGGGAAUUGAAGAGGGAUCACACUUUAGUAGAUACUUAGGUUUUCCACUUACAAAUUCCAGGCCUUCUAGGAGUGAUUAUCAACUCCUAAUAGAUAAUUUCAAAUGCCGAUUGUCGGGCUAGAAGAGUAAAUUCCUUUCUCCUGUGGGUCGAGUGACUCUAAUCAAUUCAGUGUUGAGUACUCUUCCUAACCAUGUCAUGCAAAUUACUAAGUUACCUUAUCAAGUGAUUAAGGGUAUGGAAAAGUGUGAAAAAAAAUUUCUUUGGGGUUCUUCUGAAUUCGCAAGAAAAUUAGUCUUGUCAAAUAGUCCAACGAAGACUAAGAAAGAGAGAGGUUUAGGUAUACAAUGUCUAAUGACUACAAACUAUUCUCUCCUAGCCUCGACUGUAUGGAUAUUAUUUCAUUCUCAGGAUUCCUUUUGGGUUGUGCUUCUAAGGAAUAAAUAUCUCAAUCGAUCAACUAAUUUAUCCUCGACCUGGAAAAACCUUAUGGUGGGAUGGAAGAACUAUCAAAAAGGCAUAAUAUGGCAACCGGCUAAUGGAAGGCAUAUUAACUUUUAGACCUACCAAUGGAUAAAACUUGGAACCACUUUAAGAUCCAUAAUUUUUGGCCCCUUAACGAAGUCCGAGGAUUGCAAGUGUAUCACUGACUAUAGAAACGGUAACACUUGGAACUUGUUAACCAUCUCAUUUGUCCUCCCUCGGAAAGUGACUAGUCAAAUAUUUCUCAUCCAUUUCCCCACCUUUGAAAAUUCUUACGAUCGUAUUAAAUGAGGACUUACACCCACGAGAAGGUUUACUGUCCAAUCUAGCUAUAGCCAAAUCAAAUCCAAUGAUAAUAAUCCUACUCUCCGAAUUGAUAGUUGCUGGUUAUGGAACCUGACUAUUGUCCCUAAGAUUAAAUAUUUCCUGUGGUUGUUAAGGCUGAAUAGGUUUCCUACUUCUGCUUACUUGCACCAUAUUUCAUGCCUGGAAUCUCCUUUCUGUAGACUUAGUCAGGGAGGAGUGCCCGAGACUUCAUACCACUUGUUCUUUUCAUGCUCAGGACUGGGCUAUUUCUGGGAAAGCUUAGUAUUGGGACCUUCCCUUUCAUUGCCCCUGCAAAACUCCUACGCUACCUCUAUUUUUAUCUAUUGGCUUAAAGAUAACGUUAACAGAUAUGCUUCCACUUCUCCCCAACUACCGCUGGGAGUCCUACUCCCUUACUACUUGUGGGUUAUUUGGACCCAACAUAAUAAGCGUCUUUUUGAUGGACAUGGGACUGAACCAUCACUAGUCUUGGCCAUUCAUUUAGCUGCGGAAUAUUGGUAUUUGGCAAGUAAUUUACACACUACUAGUAUUCCUAUCACUGUUUAUGUCAAAUGGAACCCUCCUAAAAUUAACAAUCUCAUGUUGAAUACUGAUGCUGCUAUAUAUUCUGAGCAUAGCAUUGGCGGAUUAGGGGGGUUUUGUAACUUUAGGGGCGAAUGGGUUAUGGGUUUUACUGCUUUUACAACUAUUCAGGACAUAACUCAUCUUGAACUUUUAGCAUUUUUUGCAGGAUUGCAGCUAGCUGUUAAACAUAAUUUCAAAUAUCUCGAAAUAAAUGUGGAUGCUAAGCAAGUCACAACCAUGUUAACAAGUGCUAAUUAUUUUACUGACAGUUUUUUGCCUCUGGAUGAUUGCAGGUACCUGCUCCUAUAGAUGGGUAAUCCGGUGGUGAGCUCGGUCUACAGGGAGCAAAACAGGCUAGUUGAUGGCCUAGCAAAAAAAGUCGUCUCUACUGCACUACCAUCCAAUUUAUGUAAUAGUACUUUGGUUAUGGAUACUAUAUCCAUUUUUUGGUCACCUCCUCAAGACUUGAUGAAGUUUUCUCAGGCUAAUAUGCGAGGAGAUUUUGCUAUUAGGUGAGUUAAAUCUGCAGCAGUUUUGCCGCCUAGUGUCUUUGUUAAUAGUCCUACUAGUAGUAUUGUAGUCCUUCAUGGAUGGUCUGUAAAUAUUGCUCUACGUGCAGAUACUACAGUGGCUAUGCUACUAACUUCCUCCCUAUAGUUUUUGUUAUGAAGCUAAUAUAAUAUAAGUAUCCUAAUUACCAAAAAAAAAUUAACGUUGAAUAAAGACACACCAAUCAAAUUUUCUAUGCAUAGGAAAAGUUUGAAAAAGUAGUCACUUUUUAAUUGAUAAUUAAGUUAGUUAGCUUUUCAAGUUAUUCCAUGUUUAGAUAUUUUUAAUACCAAAAUAAUCUUUUACAAAAAUCACCCUUCGCUCAACACAGGACAGUUUGAUAAUUUUUAAUCAUUUUGUUUUGUGCAUUGUCAGUAUAGAAUAUUACAUGAUAGUAUAAAAUAUUUUAUACAUUAAUGGUGCACAAAACUUAAAAUAAUUUUUAGGGCAAAAUGGUUCAGUGGACCCUUGUACUAUGUCGGUUUUGUACGUUGGAUAGUUCUACUUACAUGUUUGUCAUCUGGACCCCUUAAUCCACUAAAAAGCAACAUUUUAUAUCCUUUGACUGUUGACUUUGCCUAUGUAGCAUUGAAAUAACUGACUAGGAUAAAGAGUGUAGUCACUCGCCUGAGGUGUGAGUGAGGAUCAAUUUUUGUCUAUUCUAUAUUAAAAUAAUUUAAAAAAAUUAAAAAUAAUAUUAAAAUUUAAAAAAAUUAAAAAACAACUUUUUCCCUCCAUCUUUUUUACAUUAAAAAUAUNNNNNNNNNNNNNNNNNNNNNNNNNNNNNNNNNNNNNNNNNNNNNNNNNNNNNNNNNNNNNNNNNNNNNNNNNNNNNNNNNNNNNNNNNNNNNNNNNNNNNNNNNNNNNNNNNNNNNNNNNNNNNNNNNNNNNNNNNNNNNNNNNNNNNNNNNNNACCUCCGUCCAGCCCUCCUCCCCCGUCCAACCAUGGCUAUCACCCCCGUCUAGCCAUGGCUACCAUUAAAAUUAACGCCACUCACACCCCCCAUUCAGCCAUGACUACCAUUAAAAUUAACGCCCCGCCCCUACCGUCCACCACCGUCUCCUACCUCGCCACCCUUUCCACUAGCUUCCCCAUCCCUACGCCGUCCACCAUCGUCAAUUCGUCCCCCCACGCCGUCCACCUACAUUAGCAAAAACAAUAAUUUCUCCACCAAUUUCUCCAUUCACCGGCCACCACCACCAUGAACACCCUAAACCCACCAGCACCACUGCAGUGCCCUCCCCCCUUCAUUAACGUCGGCCAUCACCGUUAUAACACUUCAAUCCAACAACACCACAACUAGAAUUUCCACUUCAUUGAACCAUCAAUCUCUGGCUCACAACAUCAAUUGGUGUGGAGCAAUAGCAGAAAAAAAAACUUAGAUUUCAACACUACAAGUGCAGCUCCUAAGAAAAGAAACUUUGAUUUGUCAAGCAUCUCCCAAUAUAUAUCUGCUGGAAGAUUAAUUUGUGAAGAUCAAUCAUCUUCCUCCAUACUCACACUACUCAUUUUUUACCACUUCCCCAAUUCCUUAAAAUUUUCAAAAUCAAUCAAAAAUUACUUUUUGGGUCUUUAUCUUAAACCAACAAACCCAAUUUCUACAAGAAAGAAAAUACAAACAAAUCCUCCAUGAUCCAAUAAUUAAGAAAAGAUAAAAAAAGAACAGAAAAACACAAAUAAUUCGCUCUACAGUUGCUCAAAUUUAAAGAUUUCUUUUUGACAAUUUGGUUGAAGCAUUGUUCACGCCGCCAUAGUCAUUUCUUGCAAAGCCAACACAUAAUUUCUAUAAAAAAAAAAAGGAGAAGAUGAUGGAGAAGAAUGUAAAAGAAGAGGAAGAAAUGGAGAAUGAAGAACAGCAAAGAGAAAGAAAUGGGGGAAGAGAGAGGAAGAAAAGGAGUGGGGGGUUUCUUUUAUUUAUUUAUUUAUUCUUUUUAUUUAUUUAUUUUAAAAUUAGUUGGAGAAUAAUUUUAAUUAUUUGAAAUGAAUUUAAUAUUUAAUUUGUGAGCAAAAAUAAAUCAAAUGACAUUUUAUAAUUUAAUUAUUUGGAUAUUUAAUUUUAAAAAAUAAUUAUUUAAAUUUUUCUAUAAUUUAUAAUUUUUUUAUUUAAUUAAAUUAAUUUUAAUAUUUAAUUUGUCAUGUAACAUUUUAAAAAUGACUUGAAAUUUUAUGAAAUACUUGAAAAUGAUGUGGCAGAUAACGUGGCACACGUGGCACUUAUGUGGCAGCUGACGUGGGCGAGUGUGUUGCACUCUCCAAAAAUGUGUUUAAAAUUCUAUUUUUUAGUGGGUUUAGGGGUCCAGAUGACAAACAUGUAAGUUGAAGUUUCCAACUUAUAAAACCGACCUAGCACAGGGGUCCACUAAUCCAUUUUGCCAAUUUUUAAUGAAGUUUGAACAUAUUUCAGUUCAAACUUCGUGAAUCGUUCUGAGAUCUUGAACUAAUAAAGAUUGAACUCCACGGACCAUUCAUAUAAUUUUAAAAUCCAACAGAAUUUCAUACUCAGAUCUUGAUUUGUGAAAGCUUGAGUUUAUACUUUAUAGGAUCACACUCUCUUCUUUUGAUUUUAUUGGAAACAAAUGUCAAGUUGUUGAAAUUAUUGAUAUUCAAGAUAUUCCUAUUUACAUGAAGACUUUUCAAUUAGAAAUUGUCUAUUAAUAAUACAUGAUAAUUUAUUAUUGUUAACUUAAAAACAUACCAAGACUUUAAAAAACAUAACUUAAAUAACAAAUAGGUUUUAUCUAUAAUCGUAGAUACUAUCAAUACUUAAUUGAUAAUAAAACUCUAUACCUAAACAUGUUUUCUUCCUACAAGCGAUAGUUUUUGGAGAAUAAUCUAAACCUAAAUAAAGAGAGACAAUUAAUAUAAAUAUUAUUAAUUAAUUGAUUGAGGAAUCUUAGUUUUAAAUAGAUUAUAAAUCUAAGUAAAAUGAGAAAAUGGCCAAAAGAGUCCCCAACCUUUGCCCCAAAUGUAGAAAAUGGCCAAAAAAGUCGGCAAAGAGAGUAUAUCUCACUCUCUCUGAGCGAGUGAAUAGUCCGAAAAUCUUAAAAAAAGUAUUUUUUACAUUUCUUUUUAAUAUAAAAGUACAUAUAAUAUAUAUAUAUAUGUAUAUAUUAUUUUUAUUUUAUUUUAUUUUCUUUCUUAUUCAACACCAUCCCAAAAUACUCUCUCUCAUAAAAAGCUUCAACGACUCUUCAAUGACUAUCAUGGCCAAUUUCUUUAUCUUUCUCAUCUCUCUUUAUAUCGAAAUCUAAAUCACAUUUUCAAUACUUCUAUCAAUUUCAUUUUGUAACAGCAAUAUCAUCCCCAUUGUUUCCUCAGCUGCUGUAGUUGCUGUCAUUCUCUCCUGUUCAAGUUCCAAACAAGCAGCAUUUGCUCUUCGUCUUUACAUCUUUACCAUUUUUCUCAGUGACAAAACAUCAAACACUUUGUCUUCAUCAUUACACUCUUCUUCAAACUCUUCCUUCUUAUCAUCCAAUUUCAAUAAACCACCAUUUUUUUCCUCUUCGAAGUUCGAAUUCAUCAACAGCCUAGUCUUUUAAGACUUCAUCUUUUCACUAUAUUUUCCAUCAAAAUCAUUUUUGGAACAACAACUAUUUCUAUUCAUGUAACACUCUGUAAAAUUUUCGAGUUCUUAGAGCUUCUAAAGCAGGCCAAGAAAGUCUUAACACUUAGAAAAUUUAGCUCAGUGUUGAAAUUUUUUGAUUCCAUAAGCCUUUAAAACUUUGACGAAUUAUUUCAUGAACUUCCCGCCUUCAAUUCUUGAUUUUCUUGUUGCGUUGCGAUAUGGCAAGUCAAGAGUACAUUCCGGGUGAGAUUUAAAAAUUUUAGACGAGCCUAAGGUCGUGUUUGAGUUGGCAAAAUAGUAGUUAAAGGCUACAGAAGGGCGCCUCCUAGCUUAGAGCCUUGGCCUCUUCCCUUAGUAGCAAGGCGCCGCCCAGCCUACAAAAGGCUCUGGGAAAGGUGCCGCCUUUCCAUAGCCCUUAUGGCCAGUUUUUCAGCAUUUCACUUCCGUAUUUCCAAGGGUAAUUUGGUCAAAUUCCAUCCUUAUAUAAGCUUCCUUCACACAAGAUUCAUCAUAUUUUUACCCAAAAUAUAAGAUUUUCACUCAAUUUUCCUCAAGAAAAAAAAUAAGGGUUUCUAUUGAAGGUUCAAAAUCAAGAAAAUUCCUCCGUUAAUUUUUCAAGAAUCAUAUAUCAAGGUAUGUUGGAUGUUGAUUCUUGGAUUCCUUCCACCCAAGAAGUCCAAGAAUCCCUUUUUUAGAUUUAAGAUUUUAUGUUUAUGAGUUUUUCAUGAUUUAUGUGGCUUGAAGUUGAAGCCCACGUUAAUAUUAAGUUUUAAUUCAUGUUGUGAUCAUAAAGAUGCAAGUAUUGACCUUAGUAUGUGUUGGUUAUGUGAUGUUUAUGAUAAAUUCCCUUCAAGAAACAUGUUGAAUUAUGUAAUUAUGUUAAUUUGGUGUAUUGAAUGUUGUAUGGCCGAUGGGUGUCUCCCACAUGUUUGAUAAAUUGCUUAUGUGAAGAAAAUAGUGUCAUUGCAACAUGAAGUAUGUUAUUCCCAAGCAUAUGUCAACUAGUGCAUGCUAAGUGUUUGUUAAAAGGCCUAAAUGAAUGAAUUAUGAUAUGUUGCAUGUAUUCCUAUUCAUGUGAAUUCCUUGUUGGAUGAGUUAUGAGACAAUAGCAUGCUUCUCUUUACAAUUACAUGUUAAGAUUCCCAAGUGCUCGAAAUGAUGCUUCAUCGGUUAUGUUUCAAAUGAUAGUCUAUUGUCAUGGUUGUUAAGAAAGAGUUGUCAUGUCUUAUUUAUUUAUGCUAUCUAGUUAUGGGGGUAUUUAAUACCCAAAAACAUAGCUGCUUGUCUAGAGUCGAGUCAGUCUCAAGAUAAUUUCAGUCAUGAUAUGAUCAGUAUAUCUCAGUUAGUGACAAAAGUUAAGAAAACUCAGCAAUCUUAGUAUUCAGUCUAAUCAAGUUCAGUAUUCCAUUCAGACCUUAGUAGUAUUUCGUCAGUCAACGGAACCAAGUGAACUCAGUCAGAUCAGUCAAGUAAGAUAAUCAGUAACAGAUUCAGCUCUGUCUAGUACGAUCUAAGAAUCAGUUCAGUGUAUAUUCAGUUGGGAGUAGGAUUCAACACCGAGCGAGGGCAGGGAUGACGACGUCCCCAUUAUUUUAGGAGAGUCAUUAAUAACAAUCCCUGCACUCCAGAACUGCGUAGCCAGCGCAGGAUGAAAAGUCACCUGUCAUAUUAGGCUUGACUACCUCCCUAGAGUCACCCAUUAUAUUAGGCUUGGCUCCAACCAGGUGUCACCCGUUAUAUUAGGUUUGGCAUCCUGGGUUCAGAUAGAAGUGUCUUUACCCGUGGAACGAUAUUGGCACCCUUCCAACUGGGGUUACAGGUUGGAACCCAACUAGAUAGAAGAGGCAUGUCGGUUAGAUGACUACCUCCCAUAAUUUUGAUUUCAGCUUCAGUCUCAGUAAUAAAACUUAGUUGAGGAGUCACUCGUUAUACUAGGCUUCACUACCUAUCAGAGGUCACCCGUUAUAUAGGCUUGAUCUCAAAUUUAGAUAAUCAUUAGCAUUAUCAUUAAACUUAGAUAUCACCCAUUAUUUAGGCUUGAUCUCAUAUUUGGUUAAUCAAGUAUCAGGCAUUAUCAUCAGUAGAUUCAGAGAUCACCCGUUAUUUAGGCUUGAACUCAUUUUCAGUUAACCAAGUAUCAAACACUAUCAGUAGUAAACUCAGAGGUCACCCAUUAUAUAGGCUUGAUCUCAGUUAUGGUAACUCAGUAUCAGUAUCAGUAAACUUAGACAUCAAUCUCAGUGGACUUAGUUACUCAGUAUCCCUAAGUUAGUGAACUCAGAUAUCAAUUCUACUAGACUCAGUCAUCAGUAAGUCAGUAUUCAUAAACCCAUAUUUCAGAAUCUAGCAUUAGUAUUAUUGCGAUCUCAGUUUUUAGUUUUUUUAUUCAUGCAUACAUCCUCAUUUGGUAUUCUCAUGUUAUUCAGUUAAGUAACGUUCAUGCAUAAGCCCUUGCAUUUAGCCUUACCUCAUCUAGCAUACUAGUAUAUUCAAAGUACUGACACAUACUUUUCUCUUGUGCUAUGGUGUCUUAUACCAUAGGUUCAGAAGUGCGAGACCCUGAGCACCCAUAGCAGUCCAAACUUAGUCAGCAGCAAUAGACGUAGUAGUGAGUCCUCUUCAUUCGGGGAUGCCUCCUAUUUCAGUUAUAUAUUAGAUUCAAUUUAUUUUCAGUAGACGGAGUUAGUUGGGGACAUGUCCAAUCAACUCCACAGAUCAGAUAGUUAGAGGAUUUUCAAAUAGAUGUAUCAGUAUUCAGUUCUCAGUUGUGUAUUUUAGAUGUUUUGAACCUUAUGGUAAAUUUUUGCCAGUUUUCUAUAUUUGUUAUAUUAUAUUAUGCAGUGCUCAGAUACAGAUAUCAGUAGAGGGUGAGUUUGUGGUCCAUCGGGAUCAUGAGCACCGUGUGGUUUUCCGAUUCCAAAAAAUUAAGGCAUUAAAAACUUGGUAUCAGAGCCUAAAGUUUAAUAGUAUCCUAGGAUUUUGAAAAGUCGCAUCUAGUAGAGUCUUGUGCAUGGGUGUGUUGCGCGCCAUAUUUAUGUACAGGAGGCUAUAAGAUGUUUUAGGAAUAGUUUCCCUCCUUUCAGUAUUCAUGUCGUGCGAGUAAGUAUAAGUUCCAGAUAAUUCUUAGCCUAAUCCAUUCCUCCCUUCAUUUACAGAAUAUGUCUUCCAGAGAAGAUAGUGAAAGAAGUAAUGAAAAUCAGCUAGCCCCCCCAGCCCAUUCAGGCAAAUCCCUCGAAUAGGCAUGUCUCUCAUGCAGAGUUCAGAGUUGCUGUCACCACCUUAGCUUAUGCAGUAGUUGCUUAGAACAAUUUGCAGAAUGCUGUCCUAUCUAGACUUUUGACUUGCACUCAGCAGAAUGAAGGAAUAGAGUGUAGGAUGAAUCAGAGGGCUAGAACAACUACCUCUGCACCAAGAUCAAGGGGUAGUAACCGCUUUCAGUCCUGUCAGAGAUUCUUAGCACCAGUUCCACUGUCAGUCCAGACACUAGUGUCUAAGUGUAAGAAUGUCAGUCGAGAUGGAGCACCAAGCUAUAAGCCACUAGGUCGUGGGAAGAGUGUUCUCACCUAUCCGCUUGGCAAAGAAUGUGGUAAGAACUAUAAGAGGGUGUGUAGAAUGGACAACGAUUUAUGCUUCGGAUGAGGUAAACCAGGCCACAAACUAUGGGAGUGUAGAAUAACAGCUCAAAGGGGUAAAUAUUUGCACCAGCAGGGCACCACCUCCAGUAGGCAGUGCCCAAUCAGGCUUUCUGCACCUCUGACUCACCAUGAUCAGGAAAUUUCUUCAAAUAUAGUUACGGGUACGUAUGAGUUUCUCAUCUUUAUGUUUAUGCUCAGUUAGAUUCCAAGGUUUCUCUUAGUUUCUUGUUAAGAAAAGAUUGUAGCAUGCUUGUUUUACACAAGGAUUUAGUCACGAAGAUAGGCUUAAAUGUUAUGUUAAUGUGUAAGUGGAUAGAUAUAUUUCAGAGAUUUGAGUAGGCUUGAACUUAGCAGGAGAAGUUAUUUCAGCUCAGACCUCAAACGGCAGAGGUAUCAGUGCCAAAACUACAGAACUCUAGCCAUGUUAUGGUUUUCUAUUCAGAUGCCAUAUUCAGAUCAUACCAAGGUUCCUUACUCCCUAAGGUCAUUAGAACCUUAUAGAAAGAAUGUCAGAGAAAACUUCAGUUAAGUUUAAGUUUUCAGCAUGAGUUAGUCAGUAAAGCCAGCAAGUCAGUUUAGCAGCUAGACAGUCAGAUUCAUAUAGUUUGUUUUCUCAUCUUUUUAUUUACGCAUGCUAUCAGAAACCUUAGAAAUGUAACUAUCCCACGAUAGAGUAUUCUAAUAGUUGCGAGUAUAACUUAGUUCAUGUGUCAUGCAUUAGAUUCGGAUCCCAAAAGUUUAGUUAUGAACCAGUUCAUAGGUGCCUUGUGCAUCGCCUCAGUUUUCUCAAGUACUUUAGUGAAGUAAUAGUUCUAAGAGGGACAUAGUGUCCCAUGGGGGAGAUACCCUAUGACUCCCCAAAGUUUUCAAGUCCUUAAACCCAUUUAGUUUCACGCUUAGCUUCUCAUUACAAGUUAGCAUCAGUUAUUCUUGCAUAAUCAGUCAAGCAUUCAUAAGUUAGUUCAGUCAAGUAGUCAUGCAUUAGAUAUACAUGUUAAGUAGAAAAAUUCAGAUUUUCAGUGUAUUCAGUCAUGCAUUCAUGAGAAUUCAGCUUAUGAGUAGCCUCAGUCACGAACCCAUGCAUCAGAUAUGCAUGUUUAUUAUGAGAAUUCAACUUGUCAAUAGUUUCAGCCAGGUAUUCUAUGCAUCAGCUAUGCAUAUCCAGUAGAAGAUUCAGUAUAUCAGUAGUUCAGUUGUAUAGAUAUGUUUCAGAUGUUUUCGUUCCCUAAGUGAGUUCAGUCUAUCAGAAAUCUUAGCUUAGUCAGCCACAUUCGAGGACGAAUGUUCCCAAGGGGGAGAUAGUGUAACGCCCCAUAAAAUUUCUGAGUCCUUAGAACUUUUAAAGAACGCCAAGAAAGGAUUAACACUUAGAAAAGUUGGCUAAAUGUUGAAACUUUUUCAUUCUAUAAGCCUUUGAAACUUUGACAAAUUAUUUCGUGACCUUCCCGACCUCCAAUUCUUGAUUUUCUUGUUGCGUUACGAUGGGGCAAGUCAAGAGUACAUCCCAGGUGAGUUUUAAAAUUUUUAGACGAGCCUAAGGUCAUGUUUGGGUUGGCAAAAUAGUAGCUAAAGGCUACAGAGGGGCGCCUCCUAGCUUAGAGCCUUGGCCCGCUCCCUCAGUAGCAAGGCACCGCCCAACCUACAAAAGGCUCUGGGAAAGGCGCCGCCUUUCCAUAGCCCUUGUGCCCAGUUUUUCAGCAUUUCACUUCCGUAUUUCCAAGGUAAAUUUGGUCAAAUCCCACCCCUAUAUAAACUUCCUUAACAUGAGAUUCAUCAUAUUUUCUCCUAAAAUAUAAGGUUUUCUCUCAAUUUUCCUCGAGAACAAGAAUAAGAGUUUCUAUUGAAGGUUCAAAAUCAAGGAAAUUCCUCCAUUAAUUUUUCAAGAAUCAUGUAUCAAGGUAUGUUGGAUGUUUAUUAUUGGGUUCCUUCCACCCAAGAAGUCCAAGAAUCCCUUUUUUAAAUUCAAGAUUUUAUGUUUAUGAGUUUUUCAUGAUUUAUGUGGUUUGAAGUUGAAGCCCAUAUUAAUAUUAAGUUCUAAUUCAUGUUGUGAUCAUAAAGAUGCAAGCAUUGACCUUAGUAUGUGUUGGUUAUGUGAUGUUCAUAAUAAAGUCCCUUCAAGAAACAUGUUGAAUUAUGUAAUUAUGUUAAUUUGGUGUAUUGAAUGUUGUAUGGCCAAAGGGUGCCCCCAUAUGUUUGAUAAAUUGCUUAUGUGAAGAAAAUAGUGUCAUUGCAAUAAGAUGUAUGUUAUUCCCAAGCAUAUGUCAACUAGUGCAUGCUAAGUGUUUGUUAAAAGGCCUAAAUGAAUGAAUUAUGAUAUGUUGCAUGUAUUCCUAUUUAUGUAAAUUCCUUGUUGGAUGAGUUAUGAGACAAUAGCAUGCUUCCCUUUACAAUUACAUGUUUAAGAUUCCCAAGUGCUCGAAAUGAUGCUUCAUUGGUUAUGUUGCGAAUGAUAGUCUAUUGUCAUGGUAGUUACGCAAAAGUUGUCAUGUCUUAUUUAUUUAUGCUAUCGAGUCCUAGGGUAUUUAAUACCCAAAAAUCUAGCUGCUUGUCUAAAUCCGAGUCAGUCUCAAGAUAAUCUCAGUAGUGCUACGAUCAGUAUAUCUCAGUUAGUGACAGAAGUUAAGAAAACUCAGCAAUCUCAGUAAUCGGUCUAAUCAAGUUUAGUAUUCAGUUCAGACCUUCAUAGUAUUCCGUCAAUCAAUGGAACCAAGUAAACUCAGUCAGAUCAGUCAAGUAAGAUAAUCAGUAACAGAUUUAUCUCAGUCUAGUACGAUAUAAGAAUCAGUUUAAUGUUUAUUCAGUUGGGAGUAGGAUUCAGCACCGAACGAGGGCAAGGAUAAUGGCUUCCCCUUUAUUUUAGGCAGAGUCGUUAAUAACAAUCCCUGUACUCUAGAACUGCAUAGCCAACACAGGAUGAGGAGUCAUCCGUCAUAUUAGGCUUGACUACCUCCCUAGAGUCACCCGUUAUAUUAGGAUUGGCUCCAACCAGGUGUCACCCAUUAUAUUAGGUUUGGCAUCCUGGGUUCAGAUAGAAGUGUCUUUACUCAUGGCACGAUAUUAGCACCCUUCCAACUGGGGUUACAAGUUGGACCCCAACUAGAUAGAAGGGGCAUGUCGGUUAGAUGACUACCUCCCACAGUUUCAAUUUCAACUUCAGUCUUAGUAAUAGAACUUAGUUGAGGAGUCACCCGUUAUACUAGGCUUGACUACUACUCAGAGGUCACCCGUUAUAUAGGCUUGAUCCCAAAUUUAGACAAUCAUUAUCAGUAAACUUAGAGAUCACCUGUUAUUUAGGCUUGAUCUCAUAUUCAGUUAAUCAAGUAUCAGACAUUAUCAUCAAUAGAUUCAGAGAUCACCCGUUAUUUAGGCUUGAUCUCAUAUUUAGUUAACCAAGUAUCAAACACUAUCAGUAGUAAACUCAGAGGUCACCGUUAUAUAGGCUUGAUCUCAGAUAUGGUAACUCAGUAUCAGUAUCAGUUAGCUUAGAUAUCAAUCUCAAUAACUCAGUUAUUCAGUUUCCCCAAGUUCGUGAACUCAGAUAUCAAUACUACUAGACUCAGUCAUCAGUAAGUCAGUAUUCAGAAACCUGUAUUUCAGAAUCUAGCAUUAGUAUUAUUGCGAUCUCAGUUUUUAGUUUGUGCAUUCAUGCAUACAUCCUCAUUUGGUAUUCUCAUGUUAUUUAGUUAAGUAAUGUUCAUGCAUAAGUCCUUGCAUUCAGCCUUAUCUCAUCUAGCAUACCAGUACAUUCAAAGUACUGACGCAUACUUUUCUCUUGGGGUUUGGUGUCUUAUACCAUAGGUUCAGAAGUGCGAGACCCAGAGCACCCAUAGCAGUCUAGACUCAGUCAGCAGCAGUAGACGUAGUAGUGAGUCCUCUUCAUUAGAGGAUGCCUCCUACUUUAGUUUUAUAUUAGGUUCAAUUUAUUUUCAGUAGACGAAGUUAUUUGGGGACAUGUCCCAUCAACUCCAUAGAUCAGACAGUUAGAGGCUUUUCAGACAGAUGUAUCAGUAUUCAGUUCUCAGUUGUGUAUUUUAGAUGUUUUGAACCUUAUGAAAAAUUUCCUCCAGUUGUCUGCAUUUGUUAUAUUAUAUUAUACAGUGCUCAGGUACAGAUAUCAGUAGAGGGUUAGCUUGUGGUCCUUCGGGAUCAUGAGCACAGUGUGGCAUUUAGAUUUCAAAAAUUGGGGCAUUACAAUUCCCUUGAUUUCUCACAAAAAUCACAAAUAAAAUGAUUCCAACCCUCAAUAAUAAUUAAUUUUGGAUUCCGUGAAUCCAAUUUUUCUACUAUAUUUUCACUUGUCAUAAUCCUAAUUCACAAAAUUCUUCAACAAGAGUUUGAUGGAUGCCUCAUCGCAAAAUGCUCAACCCGUUUGUGGGGAACAAGUACUUGAACUCCUAAAUUGCACCAUUGAAUCUCCUUAUGAUAAGGACAAAUGUCAACAUUUGCUUGAUUCACUGCACCUAUGUGUUAUAAACAAAAAAGUAAAGAAAUUCUUUCUUGCUGCUGAACCGAGCAUUGAAAAAUCAAAUGGGAGCAAUGAGAAAAGAAAUUAAUCCCUGUGAAGUCCUAAAGAGUGUCUUCUGUGAUGUUAAAUUUGCUCUUGAUUCUUCUAAUUUAGACUACCUUGGGAACCUUGACCUGUUCAGUGGAAUAGAAUUUGCCUUCCUAUUAUAAUGGAAGGUAGAAUUUUCUUUUACCUGUAUAAUAAUUUUCCUAAAUAUCAUCCAUUUUACAAUUUUCUUGAAAAAAGAAUAAUAAUAAUUAAUUUAUUUUUAUAUAAAAAUAUAAUAUUACUUGAAAAUUACGUGGCAUGACAUGACCGAUGAGUGAUGCUCACUUUCCAUUACACAUCUGGGUGUGAGUUUUCGGGAGGAUAAUAAUUCCAUUUUUAAAAUGUUCAGGAAGGUCAUAGGACCCCCGCAAAGUAUAAGUGUGUAGUUGAGAUUUGGGGCAAAGGUUGGGGGCUCUUUUGGCCAUUUUUUGAAAAUAGACAUUUAGAUUAAAAAAAGGAAAGCAUACUAAACUUUUUUUGCCUUCUUUUUAGGAAUAUGAUUCAAGUACAAUUCUUUCCACAAAUUAUAAAAUUUGGAUUUGUUGAAAUCAAUAUUAAAGUAAUGGUAUAAUGCACAGUGUUUUUUUUUCUUAUUUUUUAUUUUCAUUCUUAGUUGUGUAAUAGAAUUUAUACUAAUGGUAUUGUUGUAAAUCUAUAGUUAAAUAAUAAUAUAAAUUGCUUCAUUACAUUGGAUGCUUAAAAAUAAUUUAAUCUAUAUCUAUAUCUCUAAUUUAUAUCUAUACCUAUCUAUAAUCUAUUCUAUAAUAUAUUAAAAGUGUGAAGAUCCUUAAUAAAGUGAUUUGAACUUUCUACCCUUCAUUAAAAAGACUUAUUUUAGAGUUAAUCGUCUUUUCACCUUUUUAUUUCAAUUAAAUAUAUCCAAAAAAAUUAUUUCAAUUGAAAAUUGUUCUAUGAUUUUCUAACUGUCUCUUAUUUGGUUUGUGAUACAAAUUUUCCAUCUACAACUGACAAAACUGUCAUUUACUAUUUUAAAAUAUUUAAGGCUAUUAUUAACUAAAAUAAUUUCAUAAUUAAAUUAAUCCUAUUUUGAUUUAAGUAGAAAGUCCUACAACUAUUUAGGAUUUAAAUGUAACUAAAAUUUACCUUGUAAUAUAAAUCUCAUGAAUAAAUUUUUCCUAUUUUGAUUUAAGUAGGAGGUCCUACAACUAUUUAGGAUUUAAAUGUAACUAAAAUUUAUUUUAUAAUAUAAUUUUUUUAUAAAUGCUUAUCAGUGCAAUAUAUACUAACCAUAAUUAAUGUUGGAUAAAAAUUUAUUACUUAGAAUUUUAGUUCUUAGAAAACUAGGACUUAAACACCUUAUAUAAUUAUUUACUUAUAUUUAAGAAACAAGAACUCCUAUAUUUAGUAUAUAAAUACUACCAUCUAUAAUUAUUUGCUUAAACUAUAAUUCUAUCUAAUGCCUUUUACAAAUCAUUGUUGUCGUUUUUCUCUUUUUUUUUUUCUUUUCUUUCUCUUUUAAUCAAACGUAGGACAAAAGCAUAUACCAUUCAGGAUGACCUUUUUGAUGUGGAGAGCAACAAUUAAUAAAGUUCCAACAAAUGAGAUAUUGAUAAAGUUUGAAAUGAUAUUCAAUCAAAAUGUUAUUGCUAUCUAUUGAAGUGACAUCAAAUCUGCAAUCCAAAAAAUGUUGAAUUUAUUUUUGUAUUUAUUUUUAUUAUUUAAAAAAAUAUCAUAUUAAAUGUAACGUUUGAACUCAUUAAAGUGAGAUACACGCGCAUGACGCGUAUACCUAAACUAGUUUAGGAAAGAUAGUAAAAAGACAAUUUUAUCUAAAGUAGAGACUUUUAAUACAAUAUAAAUAUUGAUAGAUAUAGAUUAACAAUCUUAAAUCAACUAUUACAAGUAAUUACUCAACCGCGAUUUCGAUAUAAUCACGCAUUUCAUCUCUCAAUCCAUCCAAGUUGAUAUACAACUCCUGUGAUCGAUGCGACCGCAUGAGAAUACACACAUACACGUUUCUUUUUUUAUAACUCCGAAAGACAUAUUUGAUAUAUAUUGUCAUUGAAACAAAUACCGUUUAAUUUGGAGUAGGGUAAAAAAGGGAACUGAUCUAUUGUUUUUUGACCAGAUGAUUUUGUUCUACUAUUUUUGACUCUUUUAAUACACACUUCUACUAAAUGAUAAAGCAAAAACAAAAAAAGAAGAUAGCCCCAAAACUCUAACAAUAUAUCUCGUCAGCCUCAGAACUCCAACAAUAUACAGCCUCAGAACUUCAACAAGAUUAAUGGUGGAUCUUUAGAUGUAUAACUUACACACAUGCUUAACAAAAUAUAUAUAUAUAUAUAUUAAUUUAAAUUUUGAUAUUAAUUGACGUGAUGCACUUGGGACACAGACAUGAUGCACAUGGUGCUCACUAGAUGCACAUAAAACACACAUGAAAGCUAAUUUAUUGAUUAUGCUCAAAAAGAGGGCAGGAGUGGCUUAAUGGAAUUGGUAUCCCGAUUCAUCCAAGUUGAUAUACAACUUUUGUGAUAGAUAUGGCUGCAUGGGAGUACACACGCAUUUUUUUUAAACUCCAAAAAAUAUAUUUGACAGGCAUUGUCAUUGAAACAAAUUCCCUCUAAUUUGGAGUAGGGGAAAUAAGAAAAUUGGUCUACUGUUUUUCGGCCAGAUUAUGUUUGUUCUACUAUCUUUGACUCUUCUAAUACAAACUUCUAAUGAUAAACCAAUAACAUAAAAACAAAACAGCCCCAGAACUCCAACAAAACUGGCGUUCAAUCUCAUCUAGUGAACUUUGUGACAUGAGCUAAUGUUUGAAAAUUUAUAAUCAAAGACAUUCCUUGCUAAGUUUGCGUACGUUGAAGCACUGCAAUAGCUAGGGAAAAAGAUUAGAGGAGUGAUUUUAUGAAUAAACUCAUAAGUGAAUAAUGUUGAUUAUAUAUAAUAUUCAAAUUUCAAAGAGUAAUUCAAGUUAGAAUCCACACUUAAUAUCCUACGUAAAAUUGCUUUUGUUAUGAUGAGAUGGAGGCAACAAACAAAUUUUGUAAGUAAAUCACAUAAUCAUAUCUAUAAAGAAAUUCAUUUGCACCAAGUUUUCCAUAAUGACAAAUUACAUUAUUGUAAGUAAUUGUUAAGCAAUUGGUUUUCUUUCUAGGAGUUUCGCCAUCACAUUACACAUAAGAAUAACUAACGUUGAAUAAAGACACCAAUCAAAUUUGCUAUGAAUAGGAAAAGUUUGAAAAAUAGUUUCUUUUGGAUUGAUAAUUUAGUCAGCGUUUCAAGUAAUUCCAUGUGUAGCUACUUUUUAAUACUAAAUAAUCUUUUACCAAAACUAUCCUUCACUCAACACAUGAAAGUUUGGUAAUUUUUAAGAAAUUAAAUUUUGUAUACUAUCAGUAUACAAAAUAUUUUAUGCUACUUUUCAUGGACUUUUUAUGUAUCUAUGUGAAAAUCCACACUUAACAUCUUACGUAAAACCGUUCUUAGCUUGGUACAGUCAACAAAGAAAGUUUGUACUUUGUACGUAAAUCACAUAAUCAUAUGAUCAUAUCUGAUAAGGAAAUUCAUUGAUUGUAAAUAUUUGUCAUACCUCUUUAUUUUUAUUUUUAUUUUGGUUUGUAAAAGUAGGACAAACGAAAAUUAAGCAUAAAGAUAAAGUGGAGUUCCAUUGGAGAGUAAUACUUCAAGCAACAAACUAAAAUUUAGAACUUAUCAAAGAACAGAACUUUAGGUUAUUUUGGGACCAUAACUACAACAUUUUAGGUGUUUAUCCAACAUAGAAAAGUGUGGCGUAAAAUGUUGAAAAACCUUGUUUGAUCAAAAGUCACGCUUUUCGACUUUAGGUAAUAUUUUUUUGAGGUGGCUUAAAUUAGGGUAACCUUUUUUUCAGGCCAUGUUUUUUCAACUAUUGCAUUAGAAACCCUUAGGGCAACAAGAGCCGCAAUGGCAACGCUUUUGAUACCUUAAAUUACAUGUAACCUUUCCUACUUAUAGGCCACACUAGCAUUGCCUAGCCAUUAAGAUAUUUAUUUGUCUUUUCAAUCUUAAUAUAUUUAAAUAAAUUUUUUUAUAAAAAAGAUUGCAUAUGUUUUCUAGGAUUCAUCCGAAAUCUAGCAUGAGUUCAAUAUAUGUUAUUUUAAUACGUAUUUAGAUAAUUUAAGUUGUUAACUAUUGUAAUUUAUAAUAUUUUUUAUGUAAUUUUAAAAUUAAUAUGCGUUACUUUUCUUGUCCAAAUUAUUGUGGCAUUGAUAGUCAAUUAUAUUUUAAAAAUAAUUUAUGUUAAUUAUUGUGGUUUCUAGUAUCUUUCAUAUAAUUUUUUUGAAAUCUAUAACAUAUUAAAUUAUUUUUAGAUAUUUUAAAUUGUUAACAGUUGUAAUUUAUAAUACUUUUCAUGUAAUUUUUGAAUAAUAUAUGCCACUCUCCUUGUCCAAAAUUUUGUGUCGACGACAGCCAAUUAUAUUUUUUAAAUAAUUUAAUAUUUUGAUCAUUGUGAUUUAUAAUAUUUUUUUUUAUCUCAACUUAUGUGGCACAAUACUUAAAUGACCAUAAUAAUUAAUUCGAGGUGAUAUAGUAAAAUCACGACUGAAGCAGCUGAAGUAGAAAUCAGUCAAUUUUUAAAUUUUUUUUGAUUAAUUAUUGUUAUUUACAGUACUUUUUAUUUCAUUUUCAAAUAAUAUAUGUUGUUUUAUAUAUUCUUCUAUCCCGUCCUAAUUUAUGUGGCACUAAUAUAAUUUUGAAAGUCAAUCAAAUAUUUUAUGUUGACAUAUUAUUUUAUUAUUACUAUUUUUAUAAUACAUAAAUGACUUAUAAUAAGGAGUGAUAUAGUAAAAUCAUCGUUUGAAAGACAAAAAUUUAAUUUAAAACAUUAAGAGUUAAUUUCGUAUUUUAUGUCUAUUUUAUUUUUCAUUAAAUAUUAUUUAUUUUCUUAAUANNNNNNNNNNNNNNNNNNNNNNNNNNNNNNNNNNNNNNNNNNNNNNNNNNNNNNNNNNNNNNNNNNNNNNNNNNNNNNNNNNNNNNNNNNNNNNNNNNNNNNNNNNNNNNNNNNNNNNNNNNNNNNNNNNNNNNNNNNNNNNNNNNNNNNNNNNNNNNNNNNNNNNNNNNNNNNNNNNNNNNNNNNNNNNNNNNNNNNNNNNNNNNNNNNNNNNNNNNNNNNNNNNNNNNNNNNNNNNNNNNNNNNNNNNNNNNNNNNNNNNNNNNNNNNNNNNNNNNNNNNNNNNNNNNNNNNNNNNNNNNNNNNNNNNNNNNNNNNNNNNNNNNNNNNNNNNNNNNNNNNNNNNNNNNNNNNNNNNNNNNNNNNNNNNNNNNNNNNNNNNNNNNNNNNNNNNNNNNNNNNNNNNNNNNNNNNNNNNNNNNNNNNNNNNNNNNNNNNNNNNNNNNNNNNNNNNNNNNNNNNNNNNNNNNNNNNNNNNNNNNNNNNNNNNNNNNNNNNNNNNNNNNNNNNNNNNNNNNNNNNNNNNNNNNNNNNNNNNNNNNNNNNNNNNNNNNNNNNNNNNNNNNNNNNNNNNNNNNNNNNNNNNNNNNNNNNNNNNNNNNNNNNNNNNNNNNNNNNUUUAUGUGGCAUUGCUAAAAUAAUGAGAGUCAAUAAAAUUUCUAUAUGUCUUUUAAAUAUUUUAAGUUAUUAAUUAUAGUGAUUUGUGGUAAGAAAUUAGUUUUGAACAUGAUAGCCAAUUAAAUAAAUAAAAUUUUUUACUUCCAAUAUGUAGUUAUAGUUAAUUAAUAUAAAUUAAUAGAAUAUAUUAAAUAUUUAAAUCAUUAUGAUGAAACAAUAGAAUUAUUAUAUAUUGGGGCAUGGUAUGUAAUUAAGUGGGAGUAGAGGGUUUUUUUUUGGGUAAGAGUCAAUAAAAUUUCUGUAUGUCUUUUAAAUAUUUUAAGUUAUUAAUUAUUGUGAUUUGUGGUAACAAAUAAGUUUUGAACAUGAUAGAAAAUUAAAUAAAUAAUUUUUUUACUUCCAAUAUGUAGUUAUAGUUAAUUAAUAUAAGUUAAUAAAAUAUAUUAAAUAUUUAAAUCAUUAUGAUAAAACAAUAGAAUUAUUAUAUAUUGAGGCAUGAUAUGUAAUUAAGUGGAAGUAAUUGGGUUAUUUUGGUAAUUGCAAGAGGUGGUCGAAACCACCUCUUCUAUAUAAUGGAAAUAUUUUGUAAUGUGUAACCUUUACUGAUAUAUAUACCACAAUUCACCAUCAAUAAGCCACAUAAUUGAUGUUCCUAUCACCUAUGACCAAACUUUUAAAGCGCGGUAAUAUUGUGUAGGAUGUAAAAUAUUAUUGUUAAAAUUUAUAUGUAUAACCAAAAACUCAAGUAUGUAUAAAGUGAGAUUUUUAUUUUUUUUAAAAAAAAAACAAGCAACUCUUUGGGGAUCCCAUCUAAGUUGAUAAAAUAUUAAAUUAUUUAAUAUCAAGUAAAGCAAUAAUAAAAGUAUAAACAACAUAAACCCCAACAGUUUGCUACUUAAUUACACUCUUCCCUAUCUUUUUUCAUUAUUAUUACUCUAAAUUUCAUCCAGAUACAUAAAUGAAAGUCAUGAUAUAUAACACACCGAUACAUCACUACCAAACUAAUUGACUAUAAAAAAGAAAAAUAACGGUAAAAAUGAAGAAAACAAUGCAACUAAUGCGAUUCUGCUUGGAAUCUGUAUCUUGAAUCCUAAAAAUUAGUAACAGCUUCAUAAUUCAAUUUUGAAUUACCAAAAACAAUCCCAUUCGAUGAAAAUUCUUUCAAAUUCUCUCAUCUCUGUUUUCUUCUUCUAAUUUCUUUAUUUUGAAUACGUUAUGAACAUCUCCAUUCUGUUGAGAUUUUACAGUGUCUGAAUGAAUAAACUUCAAUAUAUAUAAUACAAAAAUAAUGAAAUUAUUGUUGGAGAAAGUGUUUCAUUUUUUAGAUUGAUUUCGACAAUUUCAAUCAAAUUUGGUAUUGAUUAAUCAAAAUAAAAUCGACGUCAAAUACGUUGUCGAAGAAAAUUCAUUGCCAAUGGUGAUUUGGACCGACAAUGAAGUAAAACUUUAUGUUGAGUUCAAGAAUAAUGUUUUCAAAUUUGUAAUGUAGCUCGAAUGAUGGUAUAUUGGUGCUAUAAUUUGAUACAUUAAUGCUUAUAACAGUUCAAUUGCAUAUGGAAAACGAAUUUCAUAUUUUUUUUUAUUAUGUUUCAUAAGAUACGCUAUUUUCAUAUGUUUCAUAAGAGACGAUUAGUAGAAUAGUGUUGUUGGUUUGUAUGGUACAUUUCUCUUCAUAUUUUUUAAUAUUGUAUCAGGUUUUUAAAAGACUUAAGUCGUCGACAGGCCCUCAAAGUUGUCCCGAAAAUUCACUUAGACCCCUCAACUAAGGCGUGUACCUAUUAGGCCCCUAACCCACCCGAAUUUUGAUUCAAUCAGGCCUUUUUUGCCUACAUAGCACACCGCGUGCAAUGUACUCGCAGGGGCCGCGAGAAGAGUGAUUUUUUUACUAAAUCACGAAUAGAAAGGUGCCAAGUGGUACUGAGGGCCCCCAAAAAAUAUUUAUUAAAAAAUUUAUAUUUAAAUUAUUUUAUUAAUANNNNNNNNNNNNNNNNNNNNNNNNNNNNNNNNNNNNNNNNNNNNNNNNNNNNNNNNNNNNNNNNNNNNNNNNNNNNNNNNNNNNNNNNNNNNNNNNNNNNNNNNNNNNNNNNNNNNNNNNNNNNNNNNNNNNNNNNNNNNNNNNNNNNNNNNNNNNNNNNNNNNNUUCAACCCCCCACCCCAUUGUUGUUAAUUCUUUCUUCACAGCAACCCACCUUCACCAUUGUCGUUAACUUUUUUAGGACAACAAUAAUUAAAUAAAUCAUUAAUUAAAGCUUUUCAUCAAUGAAAAUGGCGACAUUGAAAUUCCUUACCAUUAAUUUUUUAAUGGUAAAUUUAGCAUUGAACAAUAACGAAAAUGGCAACAUUGAAAAUUUUCAUGAACAAUUAAACAAUUAAAGGUAAAUUAAAUAAUUUUUCAAUCAUUAAUUUUUCAAUGUAGACAUUGAAAUUAAAUAAAUCUUUCAAAUUUCUUACCAUUAUUGUUACCUUUCAAUGUCGCCAUUUCGAUUAGAUUUGUUUUUAAAUCUGUCGACGAGUCUUCAUUUUUUACGAUAAGAUUCAUACGAAUUUAAAAGGUAAUUUAAAUCCUAAAGAACCCAAUUUAUAUUUUUGUCGCAGGUGUGUGUGUGUGAAAUAUGUGUGUGUGAACUGUGAAGACGCCGGGGGAGGAAGUGUGAAGAUGAUGACUGGGUGGGGGGUUGCUUUUUUUCUUUUUUCUUUUAAUUAAAAAUAAUUAUUAAAUAAAUAUUUAAAUAAAAAAUGGACAAAUCAGCAACUCCAUUUUUUAAUUAUUUUUUUAUCACGUAUUUUUUUUAAUUGGUUAUUUUAGCCACGUCACGUGAGUGUGUACACACACUCUAUACUUAUUGAUGAUUAGGCAAAAAAGGCCUGAUUGAAUCAAAAUUUGGGUGGGUUAGGGGCCUAAUAGGUACAGGCCUUAGUUGAGGGAUCUAAGUGAAUUUUCGGGACAACUUUGAAGGCUUGUCGAUGACUUAAGCCUUUUUAAAACAUACAUGUUGAUAUUUUGUUUAUGUAUCAUUUCCUAAUAUUGUAUUAUUUUUCUGAUACAUUUAGCUAGGGUUAUUUGUUGGUUGAUGUUCUUUGCUGUAGUAAUAUAGUACAUUAUUGAUUAUGACAAUCUUAGUGUACACAAAAACUAAUAACAUAGGGGAUGAUGAGUAGAAUAGUGUUGUUGGUUAUUAUGAUACAUUACUAAUUAUGUUUUUUAACAAUAAAUAGUAUUUUUAAAAUAAACAUGUUGAAAAUUUUUUGAUGUUGAAUUUACUGAUAUUUUAACUUAUUUUCUGAUACAUAUAGCUUUCAACUUAUUUUUAACAUACAUGUUGAUGUGUUUUGUCGUUCAAAUGAGUUUUAUGCUAUUUCAUGAAAGGUGCACCAUGUUAAUAUGAUUUUAUUCAUUAAAUAUGACUAUGAUACAUCACUAUUUUCAUCAAAAAAAUAACAGUUAUAAAAUGAUACAUAACUUUAGAAGAAAUAUGUAAACUUUUAUACAUUAAGAUUUUAACAGAUAGAUUACAAACUUGUAACUAUCCAUUACUAAGUCACCAAAAUAGACAUAAUAUCAAAAUUAUGAUACAUUGUGCUGUGAAAUAUGAUACAUUGCUAGUAUUUGUAGUAAAAUUUAUGAUACAUAAAUUUACGUAUAUUUAUGUGUUAGUUAUCUGUUAUAUCAUUAUGGUUUGAUAUAUUAAUAUAAUAUAUGUAUAUUUUUGUAUAUGUAGUGUAUAAUCAAAAUAUUUUGAAAAUACAAGAUCAGUAGAACAAACUUAUUAUUGCAUAUAAUGAUACAUUUCUAAUUAAUUCUAAAUAUUUUUAAUACAUUAAUAUGUUAAAUUAUUGAGAAAAGACAUCUUUUCCUUCCUGAACUUGUCCUCCCAACUCAUUUUAGCACUUAAACUUAAGUUCUGUUUAUUUGUCCUCCUUAACAUCUUUAAAGUGUAUUAAAAUCCUCCCUUAACUGCUCGCGUGUAAACAAGCGUCGUUGAGCACGUUAAAACUCAUUUUUUUGUCUAUCUAAUUUCUUGUAAAUAUUUAUUUAAAGAAAAAAAUGCAUAUAUUUAUAUAUAAAAAAAUACAUUAAUAUUAUAUUUAAAAUAUAAAAAAAAUUAAAAAAUAGACACCUUUUAUUCUUUCUUCUCCAAAACAUCAACAACACUCAAAUCCCUCCAUUAACAGCCUCAAAUUCAUUCUCCAUCAACACUCUUCUUCAAUUUUUUUCAUUUUCCUCCAUUGACACCAUCAAAGAACAACCACAAAGACAUUAAAUUUAAAAAAAUUCUCUAUUGAACACCUUUUAUUCUUUCUCCUCCAAAACAUCCAUAACACUCAAAUUCCUCCAUUAACAACCUCAAAUUCAUUUUUCACCAACACACUUCUUCAAUUUUUUUCAUUUUCCUCCAUCAACAUCAUCAAAGAACAACCACACGAACACUAAAUUAAAAAAAAAUCUCCAUUAAACACCAUCUCAAACUUCAAUUCAACUCCCUCAAAAUUUGGACAAAAAUUAAAUUAAAUUGAUGAUUUUCCCUUUAAACAACUUACCAUGAAUGAAAUUUCUUUGAAUUUUUACUUUUGAAUUUUUUUGUUAAUAGGAUAAUUUUUGAAUUGCUUUUUUAAACUCCAAACUUGAAUCAGAAAUAAGAAAAAGAAAACAUCACAAACUUGUUUGUAGGGGUAGGGUUGCGGCUGAUAGGGGUUGAAAAAAAUAAAGGUGUUUUUGUGUUAACAAGAAAGGAGUGAGGAAGGGGGGUUGGGGGGCUAGAAGGGGAGAAAGAGCUAAGAGGGGUACCUACUUUGCUGGGGAGGGGUUAUGGGGGAGAAGGGGGGGAAGGGGGGCGCUGUCACACCCCUUUUUCAACCCGAAAAGAUUAUAUUUUUUAAUGUUUCAAAGGAUUUUAAUAUUAAGUGACAAAAGAUGAGAAUUUUUUUCGAAAAAGAUUAUUUAUAUUCAAAACUUAGAGUCGCCACUUGACAUAAUCCGGUGUGCCAAGUCACCUUUGAAAGAUCCUUUUCAAAACGAUUUGACUCUUUAAAACUGGUUUGCGAAUAGACAUCCUGGUUAAGGUAUUUUAUUGACAGAGGGGAAGGUGUUAGGCACUACGAGUGUAUCGGUUAGUUUGACACUACGAAUGUACAAACCACACAAAAACACGUAAAACAAUCAAACAAACAAACAAAACAAAACGAAUAAAAAAUAUAUUGUCCAGUCCAAGUUAUACAGUUCCAAAAAUAGAAAAAUACGAAAAUGUAAAUUCUAUUCUAAACUAAUCCUAGACUAAGAUCCAUGCCUCACCCGAUGCCUCGGGCCUUCAUCACGGACGUCCUCCGAGUACAGAAUACUUCAGGGUAUUCUCCGGAUAAAAUAAUACAAGUACUUCUCGGGGCAUUCCCCGGCUAAAUGAAUACAUUUGAAUUAAAUAUGAUAAACUAGAAAGAAACAUUCACAUGCACAUUACAACAUUCAACCAAAACAAAAAGUUCUAAAAUUUGCCUACCCGAACCUAUAUUGCCUAUCCGUUUCAACACAUCAUAAAUCUAUCAUGAUUCAUAUCAACAAUAAAUCAAAAUUAAACCGAAUCUAUCCUUUUUGUCAAUUUUCAAUUCUCACACUCAAAUCCCUUUUAUCAAUCACCACUAUUAGCAAACACCAUUUCAAUAAUCCAUACUUAUUUUUAGUAAUGAAUUUAAACAGCAAAACAAUAUCAAUGAAAUCAAGCCAUCAUAAUCAACCAACACGUAAUGCAACCAAUCAAAAUUAAGAAAAGAGAAUGGGUUGAAGAAAUGGACCUCAAUAGAUCUUGAUUUCGUCGAUAAUAAAGAAAAUUCGAACUUGAAACUUUGAAUUAAGCCUCAAUAACGAAUAUAUCCAACUUGGUAUCGAUGAACAAGCAACCCAAAACGGACCACAAUAAACCAACCAAGACCAAAACAGAAAUCACCACCAAAGGAACCUAAGUAUGCAAAAAUUAUUACAGAAUCGAACCGAUACAGGAACGAACAAUCGAUAUUGGUUUGAUCGGCGAUGGGAACUCGAAUAAUGACAAGAGAUUCCGGCCAAUCUAUGACAUUUGGACAUUUUUCUGGUGACCUCAUCAAAGAACACUCAGAAACAGUGAAGAACUUUUAGGUAUUUCAAAGUUGUGAUGACUCAAACCUGUGACGCCCGAAAAUCCAACCAGAAUGACAAUUCCAGUGAUGGGUUUACCAGAAAUCUUAAACCCUCCGUUCUCUCUCUCGAUCUCCUUUCUCUCUCCCUCUCCGUGACUCUUUCUCUUUACCUUCUCUCCCUCUCCGUGACUCUUUCUCUUUACCUUCUACUCUCUUCUUCUGUGUAUGUGCGAUUUAGCCUAAAGAUGUGUGUUUGUUGCAUGAUUCUGUACGUAUGGGUGUGUGUUUUCUUGUUCUUGUGUGUGUGUGCCUUCUUCGUGAAGAAGAAAACCAAGAGCCAAAAUAUGGAUUUUGUUUUUUCUUUGUUACCUGAUGAAGAUGAUAACCAAAGAAUGACACCCCUUCUCUCUUUCUCCGUAUGUAUAAAUAGAAAUUGAGAACCUUUCUUCUCUGUGAAUCACGUGGGCCCCCUUCAAGUUGUUGUGAUGUAUUCUUUUCUCCUUAUCCAAAAAUGAAAAGAAAAAUAUGAUAAAAAAGGAUGGGGUAGGGGUGCAUAUGAAUGGGUGAGGGGGUAGGGAUAGGGUAGGUGAGGCUAAGGGUAUGGGGUGGUGAGGUCUGAGGUGUCUUUUUUUAAUUGGAGAGGUUGUUAUUUUUUAUAUUUUUGUGGGGUAUAAUCACAUGGGUAAAGGUGUACGAUAAAGUGCGGUAAAAAUGAAUAAAAUUGGACUUGAGAGGGACAAAAUUAGGUGUCUACAGCAUGCCCCCCUUUGAAUGUAAACAUGAAGUGUUUUCAAACAAAGAAGUAGACAACGAGACAAAAUUUUGUGCCGACCAUUAUUCAAAAAGAAUGAAACAGAAUGAAACAGAAUAAAACAGAAGGAAAAAGGGAAACCAAUUCUUAACUUUGGACAUCAUACUCAUCCCUAGUUAUAAGAGAGUCAAGUCACAGGUAUCCCCAAGGACUGAAAGAAAAGGGACUAUACCGAGUUGGAGAGUUGAGCGAGGUUCUGUCGAGGUUCCAGUCUACGACUCUGUCAUUACAUCAAAAAUAAAAAUUAUAAGUUAAAACAUAAAUGAAAUUACAAAAUUCCUAUCUAUGCGACUUCUUUUGGACUCUUGACUUGAGUUUCAUCACCCUAUUCUUCAGGCGGGCUCCUGACUUGUAAUUUCUUCAACUUUUUGCCUGACUUUCAAUUUCUUCACCCUGUUCUCUAGGUGGGCUCCUGACUUGCUAUUUUUCAAUUUGUGGACUUUCAAUUUCUUCACCUUGUUAUUUGACUUUCAAUUUAUUCUCCCUGUGCUUCAGGCGGGUUCCAAUGUUGCUUGAAUUAUCAAAACAAGGAAGUGUGCUGCUUACAAAUGCCGCUUGAAUUACCCAAACAAGGAAGUGCGUCUCCUUACAAAUUCCGGUUGAAUUACCCAAACAAGAAAGUGCAUCUCCUUACAAAUGUCGAUUGAAUUACCCAAACAAGGAAGUGCGUCUCCUUACAAAUGCUACUUGAAUUUUGAAAUAAGAAAGUACGUCUCAUUUCCAAUGCCGCUUGAAUUACCUAAAUAAGGAAGUGCGUCUCCUUACAAAUGCCCAUUGAAUUACCAAAAUAAGGAAGUACGUCUCCUUACAAAUGCCGCUUGAAUUACCAAAAUAAGAAAGUGCGUCUCCUUACCAAUGCCUGUUGAAUUACCCAAAUAAGGAAGUGCAUCUCUUUACAAAUGCCGCUUGAAUUACACAAACAAGGAAAUGUGUCUCCUUACAAAUGCCACUUGAAUUAACCAAACAAGAAAGUGCGUCUCCUUACCAAUGUUGCUUGAAAUGUCCAAACAAAGAAGUGCGUCCCCUUACAAAUACUACUUGAAUUACCAAACAAGGAAGUGCGUCUCCUAACAAAUGUUUCUUGACUUACCAAAACAAGGAAGUGCUUCUUCUUACCAAUGUAGCUUGAGUUACCCAAACAAGGAAGUGCGUCUCCUUACAAAUGCCACUUGAAUUACACAAACAAAGAAAUAUGUCUCCUUACAAAUACCACUUGAAUUAACCAAACAAGGAAGUGCGUCUCCUUACAAAUAUUGCUUGAAAUGUCCAAACAAGGAAGUGUGUCCCCUUACAAAUACCACUUGAAUUACCAAACAAGGAAGUGCAUCUCCUAACAAAUGUCUCUUGAAUUACCAAAACAAGGAAGUGCAUCUCCUUACCAACGCCGCUUGAAUUACCCAAACAAGAAAGUAUGUCUUCUUACAAAUACCGCUUGAAUUACACAAACAAAGAAAUGCGUCUCCUUACAAAUACCACUUGAAUUAACCAAAUAAGGAAGUGUGUCUCCUUACAAAUGUUGCUUGAAAUGUUCAAUAAAGAAAGUACGUCCCCUUACAAAUACCAUUUGAAUUACCAAACAAGGAAGUGCGUCUCCUAACAAAUGUCUCUUGAAUUACCAAAAAGAGGAAGUGCGUCACCUUACCAAUGCCGCUUGAAUUACCCAAACAAGGAAAUGUGUCUCCUUACAAUUGUCGCUUGAAUUACACAAACAAGGAAAUGUGUCUCCUUACAAAUGUCACUUGAAUUAACUAAACAAGAAAGUGUGUCUCCUUAUAAAUGUCGCUUGAAUUACCCAAACAAGGAAGUGCAUCUCCUUACAAAUAUUGCUUGGAUUACCCAAACAAGAAAGUGCAUCUCCUUACAAAUGUUGCUUGAAUUGCCCAAACAAGGAAGUUUGUUUCCUUACCAAUGUUGCUUGAAUUAACCAAACAAGAAAGUGCGUCUCCUUACAAAUAUUACUUGAAUUAUCCAGACAAGAAAGUGUGUCUCCUCACAAAUAUCACUUGAAUUAUCUAAACAAGGAAGCGCAUCUCCUUACAAAUGUCUCUUGAGUUAUCCAAACAAGGAAGUGUGUCUCCUAGAGAUAUUGGAUGAUGAGUUUUACCAUGGUUUUGAUUACCAAGCCUGUGCACAAUAUUGUCUCCUGCAUUUGUGGAAGUGAGACAUUGCAACUUUUCAUGUUUAGGCUUUGAAAUCCUUGAUUCGAAGGUAAUAUGUAUUCCUGUUUCAUACAAAGAAAACUUGUUAGUUUAAAAACAUGGUGGCUGAUUUGUGGCUUUGGCUUUUGUGGCAAUCGCUCUUACCCUUGUCACAUUAAUCUUGCUGUCAACCAUUAGCAUAUGUCAUUGACUCACUCCAUCAUUGAUUCGAACUUGGAUUAUCAAGAGUGACUCUGAAACAAACACAGUAUUUUUGCUUUGCCAUGCUUCUCAGAUAAACUCUUUGAGCCUUAAUAUUUCCAUAAGUUCCUAGACUUAUUUAUUGACAAAACUUUCAGCAUGCCUUAUUUCAGCUUACAAUCAUGUCUCUUUCAUGUGUUGGCCUUUUGUCUUGCUUUGUGUAAUUGAAGAAGCUGGUAGCCAGUUUUGAAAUCUUUUCUCACUUGUUUUGAUAUAGAGUUGACUCAAAGACAAGAGAAAAAUGACAAUGACUUUUAUUUGGAUAAUUGACUCGAGAAAACAAAAUAAAAAUAAAGAGAAGAAAGAAAAGACAAUGAAUGUCCCCAUUUGAAAUAAAGAAAUGAAAAAACUAUCUAGAAAUAACAAUCAACUCUAAUGAUUAUACCAUGUAUAUUGGAUCAAGCUUCCCGAUCUUUCCAUCCAAACUUUCUACCAAUUGUUCUUGAGUUAAUGGCUCUGAAACUAAGUUACUUGCUUGGACCCAUUGCAUUCUAAGAGCUCAUUCGGCUAGUGGCACAUUGAAGGAUUUUUGCCAACAAGUCUCUCAUUUUUCUCUCAACUCACCAUCGCCUUAUGAUGCCCAUGGUGCCCAUGGGUUUUCACCAAUAAAACUCUCUCAUUUUUAUCUCUCUCAACUUAUCAUUGCCUUAUGGUGCCCGUGAGGGUUUUCACCAAUAAAAUUCUCAUUUUUAUUUCUCUCCUAAUUUCUUAUGCAAAGAAAGACGAGUAGUUCCCAAAAUGUGUCAUCAUAUCCAUUGCAUGCUUAGUCUUAACAUUCUCAAAGAUUGAUCUGAAGGUCUUUCUUUGGUUGUAACUAAUUUUUUGGAGAGGGUUAGAAAGAAAGGAUGGCAUGGGGCCCAAAUAACACUUGAAGUGGGGUGACACUUACAAUUUUUGGAAUCGACUCAAACAAUGAGGAUACCUCAUGCCCCAGUUUAUUUUGACUAGGUGACUAUAAAUUGUUUAUUUGGUUGGACCGAGCCUCGGGUAGAGGAGCCUACGUAUCUCACCCCCGAGAGAAGAGAAUCAGGUCAUGCGUAGUUCUGACAGCUUGUUCUUUUACUUGAUUCUGAUUAUUUUUCCUUUUAUUGACUUUUUCUCUUUGGAACUUUUCUGACUCUAUUUUUCUGAAUAGAUUUUUACGAGACCUGCGAAGAGGAUAAUUUGUAAAAAAAAAAAAAAAACCAUACUUUUAGUUGACUUUCAUUCUAUAUAUUUCCAACAGUGAUUCGAAUCCAUAUUCUCUACUAAUUCUAGGUAGACACAAGCAACCACAUAUCGUAAUAUACAAGAUGAGUAACGAGUGAUGCGAGACGAGAUGAUUUGUAUAUUCCUAAAACUCAAUCUGUAAAUAAUAUAAAGAGAGUAGAUGAAACAAAUAUGCACCUAAAAGGGCGAUGUACAGUUGUGUGACUCCUCUAACUCAUAUGUAUUUGGUAAAAUAUAAAACAGGGGAGGAUAAACUCGUCACACUAAACAUCCAUAUAUUGAACAGUCGACAAUUUAAAACAAGGCCCCAUAUUCAGGAAUCGUAUUCGCAGAGAACAAGAAACAACACCAACAUAUACUUAAAAGCCAAAUAAGUUACAUAUUAACAUAGCCAAAAUAUAUGUAAGAGAAAAGGGAUGAAGGCCGAGUGAUGACCUUGUUUUGAGCAGCAAACUUGAGGCUUCAACGUCAAGUUUCCGGCUUGAGCUCGACUUUGGAACUCAAUCUCGGAAUCAAGAAAAUACCAAAGAUUUUUUAAAAAAUUGAAUGUGUGCUCUCCCCUCUCCGAAUUUGAAAUCUUAAUUUUCUCUCUUAUCCCCCGAAACCGUGAACCCCGUUUUGAACCUUUCUCAACGAAGUCCCUUUAUUUCGGAUUUCCCCCAAUUUUCUAAAUCUCCCUCUUCUAUUUUUGAACAUCCAAAAAACCCCCAAUCCAUUCACCCUCCAAUCAAAAACCUCCCCACCUCAAGAGUGAAAAAUGUAACUAUUUAUCGGCAAAUCCGGACUUGAAAGUCCGGAUUUGAAACCAAAAAUUUGCAGGGGCCAACGGGCAAAUCGAAGGGGAGGAAAUCAAAAUUUAAAAAUUGAAAGGGACCUCACAUACUCGAAAUUUCAAACGUUUCUCAUGCCUUAAUGGUGGAUUUCAAAAGACACCUCUAUUACUGCACCAAUUUGGGACUGUUUCUCUCUGAUUUCAGAGAUUCGUGGGUUGGACUUGGCCGAGAAGGGGAGAAUCUUGGUAGGCUAGCGGCAGGGGCGCGACAGCUAUUGCUGCUAGCCCCUCCGAUUUGGGUGAGAGAGAGGAAAUGGGAAGAGAAAGGAAAAAAGUCGUUUGAUUUUGUUUUGUUUUGGGAAGAGUUAUGCUGAUGGAACGUUGCUCCUUGGGAAAGGAAAAGCGUGUAUUUGCCUAGGGGAGAGGAAGACAGUUGUUUGUAUUGGUUCCUUGAUUAAUUUUGAUCCAUGAAUAAAUAUUCUAAAAAUAAUAGUAAAGUAUAUAUAAGCUGAUUUAAAAUUGAUUAUUUUGUUUUUAUGUUUUAGGUUUAUCAUUAAAAGUUUGUAUUAGAAGAGUCAAAGAUAGUAGAACAAAAAUAUUCUGGUCGAAAAAGAAUAGAUCAAUUUUCUUAUUUAUUUUCCUCCAAAUAAGAUGGUCUUUGUUUCAAUGACAAUACUUGUCAAAUUUGUCUUUCGGAGUUUUAAAAAAAAUGUGUUUGUACUCCCAUG